rnacentral:lncRNA from 1 species
CUGUGUUGUUCAUGAGCUUCUAUAUUAGGUAUCAAAAUAAAGAUAGUGGAGAAUAUGGGACUUUGGUGCCAAUAUGCUUGCCGUUGAGAGCUAUGAAGAAGUUUGAAGAAGAGCUAAAGAAAAUGACUCUCCAAUGACCCAAGGCCACCUUGAUGUAGGAAGAAGUAGAGGGGUCAAAUUAAUUAAAAAUUAUCUUUGUUGAGUAUAACUAUUAUAUAUAUUAUUGGAACUUAUAGUAUUUCGGGAUUUAUAUUUGAGUCAGAUUAUAAUUCCAUCCAAUUCACUAGUAAAAUAUUAAGUUAACCUUUUAACGAGAACAUUUUGUCCCAAAUUAAGGGCAAGUUUGAGAUUAAAAUAACUGAUGGAAUAAGUCGCUUGUAUUGUAUGGAUGAAAUAAUAUGUUGAUUAAAAAAGUAACUUUAGUAAAUUAUGUUGUUAGAGUAGCUGUAUGUUUGAAAAAUGGAGUACAUGUAUUUGGUAAUUUUAUUAUGAAAGAGCUAGUUUAUUAAAUAAUAACCAAAAUAGAUAAGUUCAAAUUGUCUUUUAUUUAUACGUUGACAUUUGUGAAAAAUAAGAUGUAAUUGUCUUUUUGGUAAAAUAUUAAGAUUAUAAUAAAAAUUUAAAAAAUGUGUGGUGACUUAUUUCAUUAAUUGCUUAAAAAGCAAUCCUUUACUUGCUUGUGAAAUUUACGGUCAAAACAGAGAAACUUAUGAAAUAAACAAAUUUAAAAAAUUUACUAAACACCACUUUUGUCAAAGCUUAUAGAAUAAGCCUACAUCAUUUUAACCUUAAUCCUAAAUAGGGCUCAAUGGCUAGUUUGAGAUUGUAGUUAUUGAUGAAGGCCCCAUUCUAUAAGCUACUUAUUUCAUAAUUUUUUAUUAAAAAAUAGCGUUUUGUAAAUUUUGUAAAAACUACUUAUUUCAAAAAAAUUUACAUUUGAAUUGCAACUUUUAUAACAUCUUUGUCGUUAAAUUAUUACUAUAACUUUUGUUCCUUUUAGCUAGCUUUUACAAUAUCAACUCUUGCAACAAUUUUUUUUAGGGCAUUAAUAAAAAAAAUUAAAUUAUCAAUUUAAACUAAAAAAAAUACAAAGAAUAUUUGUUAAUUUUUGUGGAACCUCAUGUAUGUCCCAAAAAAUUUAAUAAUAUAAAAAAUUAAAUUAUGAAUUUUUUGACAUUAAUAAAAUAAUUAAUAUAUUAAUUCCUCAGCAUAGUAUUCAACAAAAAUUAAUAUAUAUUCUUUCUAUUUUAUUUUUUGGGGGUUAAAUUUGUAAUUUUUUUUAAAGAAACAUUAUUAUAAGAGAAUAAUAUCGUAAAAGCAAGACAAAAGUAACAAAAAGUAAUAGCAUGGGAGUUAUUUCCACCCAGCCUCCAAAUGUUUCGACAUUUUCCACCCUGCACCCAAUUCCGUUAAUUUUAUUUUUAAUGGAGCUAUUUGAAAUUUAAUUAAAUGUCUGAAAUACCCCUUAUCUUGAAUUAGAGAAGAAUUAAAUGAGAUAAAAUGCUAAUCCAAUAAUUAAUAUUUACCUUAAAAAUUAUUAAUUAAAGGUAAUUAAUAAUAAUCCCAUCAAUUAACUUAUCAAAUAAGUUUAAUUUAUCAUCAUCAAAUAAUAUUUAGGACAUGAACUUCCAAAUUUGCCCUUUGACUGUUAAAAUAAACAGUCAAAUUAACGGAUUUGGGUGUGGGGUGGAAAUUAUUGAAACAUUUGGGGCGCGGUGGAAAAUAUUGAAACACUUGGGAGCAGGGCGGAAUUAACCCUAGCAUGGGUGUCAAUAAUUUAAUAGUUGAGAUGUCUUAAGGUAUUUUUAAAAAUAAAAAGACUAAAUGAGCAUUACCUUAAGAUCAAUUUCAUUACCAUGGCUUUUAAUGUUCAAUCUACUUAUAUUUUUUCUAUGGCCAUGAUGUCUAUUGCAACAAGUUUAAUGUGAAUGUAAUGCAUAUUACUUUUUAUUUUAUUUUAUUUGGAUAUAUUAGUAUGAAUUUUUAUCAUAUUUUAUGUAGCGUACUAUGAAAUUCAUUUGAUUUUAUUAAUUGAUUUUUUCACUUUAUUGUUUAAAAAAAAAGAAAAAGCAUUUCUAAAUAUUACUAAACAUACUCCAAAAAAUAAAAGAUAAUUUAAAUUUAUGUCUAUUUUAGUCAUUAUAUAAUAAAACAAUACUUUUACAAUAAAAUCUACCAAACGCAUGUAUACUGCUUUUCAAAUCCACAACAAUCGCAAUAAUAUAGUUUACUAAAACACCAAUCUGUUUUUUUUAAUUAACAGCUUAUUUUAACCACACAAAAGAAGCAACUUAUUUAAUCAACCAUUGCAAUUCCAAAUGGCUCGAAAUAAAUUGCUUGUUCUGUACGGAUAAAAUAAGCACCUGAUUGAAAUAGUGAAUUGGUGUUUGGUAUAUUAUAGCGGUAGAUGUAAGUUUAAAAAGAAAAGUGAAUGCAUUUAGUAAAUUUUAUUACAAACGUGUUAUUCUAUUAUUAAUGAUCAGAAUAGGCAAAUAUUUAAAUUGCCUUUAUUUUUGUACUUGAGUUUGUGGAAAAAUAAGAUAGUAUUGUCUUUUAUUAAAAUAUCAAGAUUAUAAUCGAAAUUUUAAAAAUGUAUGAUUGUUUAUUUAAUAAGCUACUUAUAAAAAAUAACUCCCUACCUACUUUAAAAAAAAUCAAUUAGAAUCUAGGCACUUAUACAAUGACUUGGUGUUGUUAAAAGAUAAAAUCAAUGUGGAUUAAUCAUUGAAUCCUUAACAAAUACUUGAAUAAAAUAAUACACCAAAAGCUACACGUGCUACAAUGAUAUUUUGAUGUUGAUAAAAGAUAGAAUCAAUGUGGAUUGAGCAACCAAAUUCUUGUGAAAGUUGAAUACCAUAAUUUAUUGGAUUUUAAUUCACAAUUUAUUUUAUAACAAGUAAAAGAGACGUUAAUUAGGAUAGAUUCAUAAUUGAAUCUAUCCUAAUUAAUUCUUACCUGCAAGUGACAAUUAAUAAAAAAAUUCUCAUCGAACAACCCGACAGAAAAAGCUUCAAACCAGCCUUAUGAGAGUGAGGCCAACAAUAAUUGACGUCAAAUUUAAGAAAUUAAAGGUAAUGGAAAAAAUUAAUAAAUAUUUGAAAACAUCUCCCCAAUUCUAUAAAGCUUAAUUCAAAAGAAUUAAGAAAAUGACCCUAAAAUAGAGUUGAAAGGUUUGGAGAGAUGAAUAAUACAAAAGAAGAGGAGAUGAAUUCAUCCAUUGUGCUUAAUGUUGGUGGCCUUUAUUUAUUUACUUAUUCCAUUAGCGGAUAGGAUUUGGUGGCUGAUUGAGAGAUUGGAUAACAUCGAUAGAGUAACCAUAUCAUUUGCACUAAAAACUUUAGUUAUGUUGGAUUAUAAUAGCUAAGUUGACCAAAUGGUUACUAGAGAUACUACAAGAUAUUCAAAUUCUUUUUAAAAAAAAAUCAAUUAAUUUAUAUAUCCUUAGUUAGUUAAUUACUUCAUAUUGAUAAAUAAUGAAAAUUAUUAGCAUAUGCUUCGAUUAACUGCAAAACGAAACUUCUUAUCAUAUUAAUGCAAAUUUAAAGUUUGUUAUAACUAAACAAUUAUAUAUAAUAUCUAUUAUGUGAUUACUGGGUAGAUUUUAAUUACUCUUUAGCCUAAAUUGAUUGAUAGAACAUCUUUAACAUAUAUUUUAAAGUUAAAUGAAAAAUUAGUGAGAUAAACAAAAGAUAAAAAUAGAUAUUGACACACAAAUUAUAAAGCUAUAUUAUUUUUAAUAAUUCAUAGUUAAGUUAUGUUUCAAAAGAUAAAUAAAUUAUUGAAAUAGUUCUAAUUAGAUGUUGAAAUUAAUUGUAUGACCGAUCUUUGACAAUUAGACUAAUUGAAUAAACAAUAUUUCAACAAUAAUUAAAUGUUAAUUACUAAUUGUCUAAUUUUUUUAUUAGAUGCAAUGAAUGUUAAGUAUGAAGUAUAUGUUCCAUGUUCCACAAUCAAUGGUAUAAUACAAUUAUGAAAACUAUUAAACUCCAUUUAUUAAAAUUGUCACUAGAGUACAUUAAUUUGAAAAUUAGCUAGUCUCCAUAUUGAUUCAAUAACAAUUAUGAUCACUCAUAGACAUUAUUUCUAUAAAUACUUAACUAUAAAGUACCAAUUAGUUCAAUAAUGAAUCUCUAAAUUGAUUAUUAAUACAAUAAAGAAUUAAACCUUAAUGCAAGUUUCAAGUUUGUUUAUAAGAUUGAAUGAGAUCAUAAAUAUUUUAGAGUUUUCUUGGACUACAAUACUAUUUUGAAAUUGAUUUGAUGUUUAGUUGUAAGAUAUCGUACAUUAUAUUUAUGUUGUAAUCAAUCAAUCGUACUUAUAAGUUAAAUAAGGUAAUUCAAUUUUAUUGUUGCACCAAGUAAAACCUUAAGAAAAAGUCAAUUCCUUAAUAAUCAUUUAAUAUAUAUUAUUUAUUACUUCAUGGUCAAGUGGUAGACACUCUCAUAAUUUUUUUUUUGGUUAAGGGUUGAAAUUAUCUGUUCGUUGUAGAAUUUAAUUUUAUUUUAAAAUUAAAUACAUUAAUUAAUCAUUUGUUUAAUUAUCUAGUUCAUGUUUGAUAAAAAAAAAAUAGAAAACUAAGAAAAAAAAUUACAAUUACUUUUCUGUUAGAUGAUAUGUAAUUUUAUAUUAUGUUUUCUUACCCUUAUAUUUUUGCUUUGACUGACCUUGCAAGUUAUACCGGUGAAAAAUAUAUUGGCACUUAUGUUGCCUCUUAAAAUUGUAUAUCCUUUGGAUAGUUUUUUCUACUAACUCUUAGUUACAGUUAAAAAAAAUUUAUAUUUCUAACAAAAAAUUACAAUUAUUGAAAAUAUCAUUUUAUUUUCAACUACAUUUUUGAAAUGGUAGAAAUAAUUAUACAUUUCAAAUGGUUAGUUACGGUGGUUGUAAAUACCAAUCAAGUAAAAUAGAUUGGAGGGAGAGAGAGAGAAGAUAAGUGGUGUUAAUUAUAUUUGUAUUAAUCCUUAAACGUAGUUGUAAUAGAAUAAUGAUUUUAUGAUAUUAAUGGAGGGGUGACAAUUUUACAACUCAAAAUCUAUAAAUAAUCUUUCAUGCUUGAUUGGCUCAGUUCGACAAGAGCCCCAAUUCGAACAAUUUUAAAUCUGAAAUAAACAGGCCCAAUCUUGAUCUUUGAAACAUGUAAUACAAAACAUUAAUAUCUCGGGAGCAAAAAUUAGAACAAAUUUCUAAACUCUACUCACAAACCUUUCCUCUUACUGAAAUUUUAUACUGCAGAAGUUCCCAGAACUUGCAGUAUCUUAGCUCACACCCCAUUCAUGAUUCACUAGACAGGAAUCCUUUUCUGAAACAGUAGUUUCGGGUUUUGGUUUAUGGUAUAUUUCAUUAUUCAAAAAAUAAAUAAAUAAAUAACGUGUACGUACAUAAAUGCAUGAUAAAGAUUUUGACUGAAAGUUACAUGUCAGUGCAGAUGGUCCACCGACCUUUGUUCCGUACGACCUUAUCCUCUGAGCUAUGAAUGGCAGGACGCAGUUUUGAUGCUGUUUAUUCACGUGAUUUUGAAAUAAAUAAAAAGAAUGUUAAAUGAGUGAGAAAUAUGAGAGAAAAUGUAUUAAAAAGAAAAGGAGAGUGGGUAAUAAAGAGAGAAUAAAAUUCUCUCAUCUUUCUUUUUCUUUAACAUUAUAUAUAAAUCAAUUAUAAGGCCUAAGGAAAAAUGAAUUCAUCAUUCAAUCUAAAGUAACUAUUUAUUUAAUUCUUAUCACAAGUGAUACAUAUGAAAAUUAUUCAAAUUAAGGAAGAGAGUACAUACAUUCCUUUUGAAUUUGACAAUUUCUGUGCUAUCCAAAAAAAAAAAAAAAAUUCUUGUAUCACAUGUGUAUUUAUAACAACAAACGAAUAAACACUCAAUACUAAAAUACAUGUGACAAUAAUUCAGAAGAAGAGAAUAUAUAUUUGAGGAGCACCUACUCUUUUAAAUUUGGAUCCAGUUAGGGGUGGGUGAAAAAAUUGUUGCCCUAAAAAAACUGAGCCAGAUCGGUUUAGUUUUUUAAAAUUAAAAAAACCAAUCAGUUUAUAUGAGGAAAAAUCAAGAACAAAAAAAAUUAAAAAAUAGAAAGAAAAUUAUGGUUUAAAAAAGAAGAAGAAGAAGAAAGGAACCUAGUUGGGAACCGAACAAUUGAUUCGGUUGGGUUCGGAUUAUUAUUUCUAUAAAAAUUGACGGUUCAAUUCAAUUUAAAACCAAGCCAAGCCAAACCAUCCUCAUCUCUAGAUCCAGUGCUAAUCUAAGUUGUGUUAUUUUAUUAUUAAUGUUUUCAUUCGAGAAUUUAUUAUCUUCAAUUUGUUCCAUUACUUUUGAAAACAACCAUUUUCUAACAGUUUUAACUAACAAUUUUAACACCAAAAAAAAUGCUGUUUAAAUUAAUAAAAAAAUCUUAUUUGAGGUCCUUAAAAUUCAAAAAAGAAAAAGUCUUCUUAAUUUCAUCUCCAUAAAAUCAAAAUCGUACCCAUAAUUUGUCGCAUGAUUUCAAUUGGUUAACAGGGCUGUACGUGGCCAAGGGUAUGGUUUUGAUGGCCGCGUGGCCAAGCUUUUAGUUUCCUGGGCCGCACAUGGCCAUUUGGUUGCCUUGAUCGAGUGGCCACGGGUUUGGUUGCGGUAGCUAAGGGUUUGGUUUCCAUAACCGUGCAUGGCCAAGGGGUUUGGUUGCCUUGGUCGCAGUGGCCAUGGGUGGGGUUUAGUUGUGUUUGAGUUCUUAGAAUUUUCAAAGCAGUUGUAAUUGUUCAAAAGUAUUCAAAUUUAGAAUUUUGGCUUUAAAACUUUGGAUUAUGGUAGAAUCUUCUUUGAUUUUAAUUUUACUUUAGUUUUUAUUUGUGGAUAGUUUAUUUGAAAUUUUUUAUUAACGAAAAUUUUGAGAGAGAGAAUGUUGCAAUUGUACUGCAUUUAUUUGCAGAAAAAAAUAAAUUUUAUUAAGGGAUUUCUUAAGUUACAUUUUAUGUAAUUUACAACACACUAUUCAUGUGUGUGGGUGUAAGUCACAUGAAUGUAACUUAGUGUUUGCCUUUUAUUAAAUGAGAUGAAUGAACAUAAGAAAGUGAGAUUUAUCAGAUGAAAAUGAAUCAUGUUGAGAAUUUUGAUAUUUUGAAACUAAAUUAAAUUAUGCUAAAGUACAUCUUUGUCCUCUAAAAUAUAAAUAAGGGUAACGGUCAUUUUAUCUAAUAAUAAAUAUAUGAGCAGAAAAAUUGAAAGACUUGACUUCUUUUGGUUAAUUUAAAUGUAUAGAUACUAUUUUGCCUUUAUAACCAUUAAAAUCAAUGGAAAAAUAAAAAGUUUUAGAGUAUAACUUGAUAUUUUUAAAACUAGAGAAGAUAAUUUGAAAAUAAUCUAUUGAUGUGGAGUAAUUCAAAAUUUUGCCUUGCGUGUAACACAUGCAUUAAUUUGUCUCUUAUGCAUUAAAAACCUAUGAACAGGCAAGCAUUCAAUCCUUGUCCCUUUCUUUCAAUUGUAAGUUUGUAAUUUAGAGUGGUGAGCCACCACUUUCAAAGUUAAGAAGAACUAUGAGGGUAGUGGUUUGAGUCUCUUAGUCCGUUUGAAAGUGUGGUGAGGUAGCUGGGCUGCUAAAGUCUAGCUACUAAAGUGUUUGGUAACACUUGUAGUUGGGUUUUGGUAGCUUAGUAAAUUUUUUUUUUUCAACUUCUACUCCACAGCUGUAGCUUUUGCUUCACAGCAGCUGCAGUUUAAAAUCUACAACACCUCACUUCUAAACACACCAUCUAUAGACUCAAUCUCUCUUAAUUAAGUAAAAAAUUAUGUGGAAUUAAUUUGUAAGUCUUUCUCCCUUACGAAAUGUGAGUGUAGCUGAGACAUCCAUUUUUUGUAAAGGUUAUAUGUAUGGGUAUGUACUUCAUAGAAUUAUUGUAAUAAUAUGUCUUAAGUUAUAUAUCUGAUUAUAAAUAUCAAUGUAAUGUCUGAUCUAAUAACAAUUAUAAAUAUUUAUGUACUACAGUAAUAUAAUGUGUAAUUAAUAUUAAAAAAAAAAGUUUGCAAUUUAUAGUCAAGGUACUAGGAAUCCUGUGUCAAUGCACCAUUACGAUUUGACAGGAAUUGCAUGCGGUGGAGACUUGGUACAAUGAUAGCCCCCUGGCCCUGCUGCACCAUAAAUACCAGGCAAACACAUAAGCACAACUGAUUAAUUACCACACACAGAUUCUAAGCCAAUAAGCCAAUAACUUUUUGACGAUGACCUUGACAUUGCUUCAAGGAUUCUCAGUUAAACGGCGGGCGCCGGAACUUAUUGGCCCGGUGUUGGCGCUGAAAAGUCAUGAAGUGAAGCAACUUUCCGAUAUCGAUGACCAACAAGGUCUAUGGUUUCAAGUUCCAUUAAUAUUUUUCUACAAGAAUAAUCCUUCACCUUCGAUGAAAGGGAAAGAUCCAGUUAAGGUCAUCAAGGAAGCCCUGAGUAGGGCACUUGUGUAUUAUUAUCCUUUUGCUGGUAGGCUUAGAGAAGGGUCCGAUGGUAAGCUCAUGGUGGACUGCAAUGGUGAAGGAGUAUUGUUUACUGAGGCUGAUGCUGACUUCUCACUUGAUCAGCUUGGUGAUGAUGAAAUUAAGCCACCGUGUCCAUAUUUGGAUGAGCUACUUUAUGAUGUUCCAGGCUCCGAAGGCACUCUUGGCUGCCCAUUGUUGUUAAUUCAGGUGAGUGACAUUACUUCAAACCGAAUUUUAAUUAUGUAUUUAUAGAUUUUCUUUUUUCUUUUUCUUUUCUUUUUUUCUUCUUCUUCUUUUUUUUGUAGAAAUGUUUACUUUGAAAACAACGUUGAAAAUUAAAUUCUGAAGGGAAAUUUUCAAAACCCUCGGUUGUACUUUUAUUAUAUUAAUUAUUCUCCCAUCAUGUUUCAAAACUCUAUAGGAAAAUUUUAACUUUCAUAUCAUGUAUACUUAUCCUGAAGUAAAUGAUAUUACCUGUUGUUUGGUAUUUUGGAUCUCUCUCAUUUAGAUUUUAUUCGAUGAGAUUCUCCUCCUUCAGAAAUUGCACUUUUACUUUCUGAUGAUACCAAUGGUUUUCUCUGUUACCGCUUUCUGAAUAAGCAUAUAAUUAACCUAGCUUUUCGGAGUUCUUAUUUGUUUCUAAAUGAAGGUGACACGAUUGAUAUGUGGAGGAUUCGUACUUGCAUUUCGGGUGAACCACACAAUGUGCGAUGCAUUUGGUUUCGUGCAAUUCUUGAAAGCCAUGGAGGAAAUGGCUUGGGAUAAUGCAAAGGCACCAUCCUUACUUCCAAUUUGGCAACGAGAGCUCCUGAACGCAAGAAACCCACCUCAAAUUUCUUGUGUCCACCAUGAAUAUGACCAAAUAGACCCGAUCAAAGCUACCCUGAGAACCAAAAACCCAAAUGACCUAGACCACAAAUCACUCUUCUUUGGUCCGAAAGAAAUAUUGUCACUUCGAAAUCAGCUUCCCCCACAUCUUAAAAACUGUACGACAUUUGAGCUACUAACUGCUUGCAUAUGGAGAUGCCGUACAAUUGCACUUGGAUUGGACCCAAAUGAGAUCGUUCGAGUUUCAUUCACAUUUAAUAUUAGAGGCAAGCGUUUCAACAUGCAGAUACCUCAAGGGUAUUAUGGGAACGCAUUUGUGUUCCCAGCUGUGUGUUCAAAAGUUGAUGCAUUGUGUGGGAGUCCAUUGGGAUAUGCUGUGGAGUUGGUGAAGGAGGGAAAGGCCAAAGUGAGUGAAGAGUAUAUAAGAUCUGUGGCUGACCUUAUGGUGACCCGAGGUCGACCGGUGCCCACAACUAUGGGAGAUUUGUACUUCAUUGUUUCGGACACAACUCGAACUGGAUUUGAAGAGGUUGAUUUUGGGUGGGGAAAGCCUAUGUUUGCUGGAAUCGCUGGGUGUGCGCUAUUCAUUAGCUUUUAUGUGAAUUAUCAGAAAAAAAAUGAUGGCGAGUGUGGGAUUGUGGUGCCAAUACGCUUGCCAUUCUCAGCCAUGGAGAGGUUUCAAGAAGAAAUCAAGAAGAUGACUAUUUGACCUUUGAAUAGGAAGUCUUCCCUAGAGAAUUUGGAUCCAGUGUUAAUCAAAGCGAUGCUGAUCUAUAGAUGCAUUGUGUUAUAUGUACAAAUAUAAUAAUAUACGAAAAAAUAAUGUGAGACUUGAAAAAGUACCCACAUAGAUAUUAGAUUAGAUCGGCAUCGAAUUUAGAAUUGUUUGUGUUAGUACUAUAUAUGUAUGCUUUGAGUUUGGAAAAAAAUAAAAGCUUGUUUAAUUAAAGUAUUUUGAAAUAAAUCAGUGUAUUAAUCUAAUAAAUUAUUUAUAUGUAUCAAUUUGAGUUAUUGGUGCUAAAUUAUUUACUUGGACUUAUUUAUUUGUUUUUAUAGUUAUUAUUUACUUGUACUUAUUAGAGAAUUUUCAAAAGAUUUUUCAAAUAAAAUUUUAUUAUAUAUUUGAAGAGCUACAUCAGUAUUUAAAAUUCAAAAGCCACUGCAAUUAUGAUUCUUCAAAUAAGAAAUGAUUCUAUCUUUUUAAUUUUGUAGAGUUGUUUUUUCUAUCUUCAAUCUAUAUUUUAUUACUUUUUAUUGGAGAGAAAGAGAAGUGCUUUAAUUAUCAUUUAUUUUUUCUUUGAAAAAGUAUUUAUUUGAUUAAAAUAAUAUUAACUUAUUUCUAUUUGAAGAGUAUUUUGGAGAAUAACAUAUUUUUUUACUCUCCUUUUUACCACAUAGGUAAGUAAAUAGAUAUUUGAAGAGUAAAAUUAAUAGAAUUUUGUGGAGAUACUCUAAGGGGUGAUUCUAUAAAUCAAAAUGCAUUUUUCAAAAACUUUAAUUUGCAAGUGUAAAUUAUUGUUUAAGUACUUUUUUAUGGGAUACUAAAUCAAUUCCGAAAAUGAAAAAAGAUGUCAAAAAUAAUUUAACCUUAAUAAACUAUUUCAAAAUACAGGUAUGAUAGAAAGUGACGGAAAAAGCGCUAUUUGGUAAAUCCAUUUUUAAUUUUUGUUUUCAUAGAUUCCAAGGUACAGAAUAAUUGACACAUAUCAAAAUGUUAUUGGUGGGUGAUUUUCAUGUGACAUGAAAUCAUAGAGUGUACCAUAAACUUUCUCAAUCAGUUGACUUGACCCACCAAAAUAUGAAUGUACCAAAAGUUAGAAAAAAAUUUAUGGUUUUAAAGCAUGCCAUUUGUCUUGCAAGUAGCAUGGCUCCAACGUUAUCCAAUAAUUAACGUUUGUAAUUGGCACCAUCCUUCAUAUUUAUGUGGAUUUAAUUUUUUCUUUGAAGAGGUAGAAAUUUUGAUUCCAUAUUUUAAAAAUAUUUGAAAUUAUCAUGUGUAUAUAAAUUUUUAAAAUUUUUAAUUUUAUCCUUAUUUAAAAUUGAAAGCUCAAGCCCUCAUAUUUUGUUACAUCGCAAUUUUUUUUAGAAAAUUAUUAUUACAUCAUUUAUGUUGUCUUAUAUUCAUCCAAUCAGUACAAAAUUCUAAUAUAUUUUAUGCACCAUCUUUCUUUUUAAAUUUAUAUUAAUUAGCAACUUUUACACUAACACCGUUAAAUAAUUUAAAUUAAAUGAUAAUUUUACCCCUAAAUAAAUUAAAAGAUCAUUUUAUUUUAUAAAAAAAUUGAAAAAUAAAAAAUUAUAAUUAUAAAAAUACCCCUAAAUUUUAGAAAAAAAAUAAAUCCCAAAAAUAAUUUUUUUUAAUAAAAAAUAUAAUUAUAAAAAUAAUUGUAAUUUUUUUGGAUAUAAUAAAAAUCCUCUAAAUUAUUAAAAUUUUGGGAUUUAUUUUUUUAAUAAAUAAAUUCAGUUAUUUUUAUUAAAAUUUUGUAAAAUUAUAAUUUUUAAUAAAAAUUAAAAUUUUGCAAAAUUUAAAUUUAAUAAAAAUCACUUGAGCACCUUUAUUUGGGAUUUUUUUUUUAUUAAAAUUAUGAGUAAUUUUGUAAUUAUAAUUUUUUAUUUUUUAAAGCUUUUAUAAGAUAAAAUAUUUUUUUAAUUUAUUUAGGAGGUAAAAUUUUUAUUUAAUUUAAAUUAUUUAACGGUGUUAGUGCAAAAGUGACUUAUUGAUACAAAUUUAAAAAGAAAGAUAGUGCAUAAAACAUGUUAGAAUUUUGUAGUGAUUGGAUGAAUAUAAGACAAAACAUAGGUGGUGCAAUGAUAAUUUUCCUUUUUUUUUUUUUUCUAAAUUCUAACCAAUGAUCAUUAUUUUUUAUUUUCUCUCCCAUUUUCACCAUUGCUAAAUAGUCUAUUCAUCUAUUCAUCGUUUUGCUUUCAGAGUAGCAUUGCUAGAAUUCAUCCCAAAAAAGAAGAUAGCAUUGUUGAAAUGAGAUUGGCUGCAUGUAGAGCAAGACAAUUCACUAAAUGGUGUUGCUUUAUUUUUUCCGGUGGAUAUAAGUGAUCGAGUGCUGUAAAUUAUUGUGUUAUUUUCAUUUUAUUUCUUCCUGGCCCAUAUUUCUACAUCAACAAAUGUAAUACAACUAAUUAUUAUUUAUUUUCAAAAGAAAAACUAAUUAAGUUGAUAGUUAAGUGACGAUUGUGCAUGGAACACAUUUUGAUGGGUGAUUUGAAGAGGUCCAAAUAAAUAUGGCUAAUGGGUCGGGUGGCAUGCAGCACGACACGACACAGGCACGUUUUGGUUGGGCGCGCGACACGGCACAACACGCACGUGGGCUGGGCUGGAUCUCAAAUUCUAGGCACGCGAACCUUAAAAGCACCGUACGAUUAGAGAUGUACAUAAUAAACACGCUUUAUCGGUGGGCUAGCAUGCGGCCCGUGGGCCAUCAAUAACACGUGGACCAAAGUAUAUCAAAAUAACAUGUUUUUUAAUGAAAAGUAAAUAUAAAAUGUUAUGAUUUCUACAAAUAUCUUGAAAUUAAAUUUCUUAAUAUAUAUAUUUUUUAGCAUGGGCUUUUAAAAUUUAAUUUAAGUCUUAGUUUAAAUAAAUAUUAUAAUUAUUUAAUGAUUAUAAUUUAUUAAAUGAAUAAAUAAAUAACAUGAUUUUAUAAAAUGAUAAAUAAAAAAAUUUUAAGACAUUAAUAUUUCAUUUAUGAAAUCAUAACUUAGUUAAUGAAGAUAUACUUCAUUUGUGAAUGAAAUAUUUUUUAUAUUUAUACAAAAAAAAUUAUGAACGAAAUAUUUGUAAAGUGUGACCUGUGAUUUGUUAUAAUUGAUAUAUCGUAGUUGUGACUUCUUAUAAUCGUUAUUUUGGAAUUGUAAUUUUAAUUUUCAAUAAUCAUUACUAUGAUUUAUGAAAUUAAAUAUAUAUAUAUAUAUAUAUAUAUAUAUAUAUAUAUAUUGUUGUGUUAUGAUUGGUUAUUGUGAAAUUAAAUAUAUAGUUGUGAAAUUAUAAUAAAUUGAUAAUAAAAUGUUAAUUGCUCUCUUAAUAAAAAUUAUUAUUAUUGUUGCUAUUGUUGUAGUAGUUGUUGUUGAUAUUAUUAGGCUGAUGAACUUAAAAAAACACGCCAAACAUGUGGGUUUAAAUAAAAUACGUUAGGCACGUGAACUUUUUUAAGACAUUUGGCUUUGAGGGGUAAAAGAAAAAGUUGAUGGACCUUUUUUUGGGGACAAUCCAUUACACCACCCGAGUGGCUCGAUCCAUGAACCGUGCUGGGCCUUAAUAAAAAAUUUGGGUACGACGCAAUAUGGCCCAUCAGUUUAAUGGGCCGUGCCGUGCCGGCCGAUGGGCCCUAAUGGCCGUGGUUUGCCGUUGGACACCUUCAGGUCCAAAAUCCGAAUUGGCCGUAAUUGCAAAAUAUAUCCCAUAAAAUAGCUUGUUUUCUAAAAUACACCUCUAUAGAGUGCUAUUUUCACAAAUGCCCCUAAUUUAUAGGUCACUACUUCAAAUUUCAGUCAAGAGCCACCACCGGUCCACCGCUCUCUCUCUUUCUCUGUUCCUCUUCGUUAAGCCACUGAAACGGCGAAGCCUCUAUCAAAAAAAAAAAAAAAAAAACAAUGUAAGUUGUUCACUUCUUAACUCUCUUAAUUAACUAAUUUUUUUAACUUUCUUAUUUCCUUUAUUAAAAAAAAAGAAUUAAACUUGAAUUUGCUCGGACGAUUUUGAAUGUACAGGUCGAGAAUUUGCGUGAAGAAUUUACCAAAAUACGUGACGGAGGAUCGCCUGAGAGAUUUUUUUUCUCAGAAAGGAGAAAUAACUGACGCCAAGCUUAUGCGCACCAAGUAAUUUUUGAAUUUUUUUUCGUUUUUUAAUUUUGCUGGAAUUUUAUUGAUUGAUUUAUUUUUUAAUUUGGUUGUAUUGCUGUGUUUUGAUUUUUGUUUAGAGAUGGCAAGAGCAGGCAAUUUGCUUUUAUUGGUUUCCGUACCGAGCAAGAAGCUGAGGAAGCUAUAAAGUACUUUAACAAAUCUUAUCUUGACACUUGUAGAAUCUCUUGUGAGGUCGGUUUUUGUUAUUACUCUGUUUUAUUUUAUUGAUUUUUAAUUUUUAUUUUCAGAGUAGGUGAAUUUUGUUUUCUUAUUAUUUACAUGCUUUUAGCGGUAAUUGGGAGAUUAUUGAGUGAAAAUUAACUUAAGUGAUUUAGUUAUCAUUUAAUCUACUUCAUGAAUCUGAAAUGAAUUUGAUGUAUGCCUGUGGCUAAUAUACUCAUGGAAUGUAAAGGAUUAGUAAUUUUGGUUGGUCUGACUAAUGUAGAUUUGGUUGAUUAAUAUAUCUUUUGCUGAUUAUAUUUUGUCAAGUACCCAAGUGUACAUAAAAAAAAUUGAAGACUCCAUAGCUUGUUUCUAGAUUGCUCGUAAAGUUGGGGAUCCAAAUAUGCCUCGUCCAUGGAGUCGAUAUUCUUUGAAGAAAGAAAAAGAAGUGUCAGAAGAUGAGAAGAAUCCUGUUCUUGCUGCUAAAAGAGGAGAGAAAAAGACCAUUGAAAAGGUUACUGAGAAUGACGAUCCUCAGCUUCAAGAAUUUCUUCAGGUGAUGCAGCCGAGGGUCAAGUCAAAAAUGUGGGCAAAUGAUACCUUGAUUGGUCUCAUGGCUGACCAGAAGGCCAAAGUCUCUGAGAAUAUAUCACAAGCAAUCAAAGGAGGGGAGAAAUCAAUUACAUUGCAUGUUCAGUCAGAUAAAUCCAAUGUGAUAACAGAUAGCCAGGCAACUGAGAAAUCAAAAAAUGCUGCUGCUGAUGAAUUAAUGUCAGAUAUGGAUUAUUUUAAGAGUCGAGUGAAGAAAGAUUGGUCAGAUUCGGAAAGUGAAGAUGAUUCUGCUGGUGAUGAUGAUGAUGAUGAUGACGGGGAGGAGGAGGAGGAGGAAGAGAAUGACCACAAUGGUGAUUCUAAUGAAGAAUGUGAUAGUAUUAUAAAGGAUUCAAUUCAUUCUGGGGUUGGAGAAGAAGAUGCCAAUGGUGAAAUUGUUGACCCAGGGAAUCCAUCAUCAAGUUCGAAAGAUGUGCAACAAGAAGUUUUGGAAAGUGGUCGUCUUUUUGUCCGUAAUCUUCCAUAUACAGCAACGUAUGUACCUUACUGCCUCUUUUUCAUAGUGGUCAUAUGUAUGACUAUAAAUAUACUUACAUAAAUCUUUAUGUAACAGUGAAGAUGAGCUGAGGGAGCACUUCAGUAAAUUUGGCAAUGUCUCAGAGGUCCACAUUGUUGUUGAUAAGGAUACAAAACGGUCCAAAGGGAUAGCUUAUGUUCUUUAUGCAAUUCCAGAAUCUGCAUCAAGGUACUUGUGUUUGGGUGUUUUCUGUUACCUAAAACUUCUUGGUGUUGCUUUGAUACUUUUAAAUUCAUCAGUGGAUUAUUAGGAGGUCUCUGAAACUUAUCCUUAGUUGAGACCUCAUAAAUAUGCUCUCAUAUGUGACUUGGGAAUAAGAAAGAUAGUUGGAAUACACAUACGCGUAAUUUUCUUAUUAAAAAAUGGGAGAAAAAUGUUGGAGAUAUGGUAGUUCAUAGGAGAGAGCUAGGAGAUGUUGGAUUUUUUCCCAUUCUUGGGGCACUUAUCUGCGAGAGGCUUUUUUGUUUUUUUUGGGCUAAGACAGGUGCCAUUGUAUUGGUGUUUCUUUUGGCAUAACUAACCAUUUUAAGCUUUGAAUUUCUGUACAUGGUUUGCUGACAUGGUCAAAGUGCAGUGAUAACUAACACAUGUUAGCCUUUCAUCCUUUUCUUGUAUACUUAAUUUUUCUCAGAAUACUGUUAAUUGUUAUUCUUUCCUUUUCUCACUGCAUUAUUCAUAGUUAUUGGGGUCCAUGAACUUUUUCAGUUUGCAGAUUGUUUACUGUUGGAUCAUAUGGUAGAUUACAAUUUAUUGUACUAGCAAAUUCUUCUUGGCCACUGGUUUGAUACAUUGCAGGAUGGAUGUGCUGUUUGAGUCAGUUUUGGAUCUUAUCCUGCACUUGUUUAUUUAUCUUCCUUCCUGUUUUUGUUCAAGUCAUUGAUUACUUGGUUGUAUGUGCAGGGCCAUAGAAGUACUAGAUAAUUCAAUUUUCCAAGGUAGAUUGUUGCAUGUUAUGCCAGCGAGACACAAGAAAUCCUCAGACAAACAAGAGUGAGUUUGCUUUUGGAUUCCAGGCUUCAAGGUUUGUGGUUUUACUUAUGUAUGAUGGAACUUGACACUGUUUUCUUUCUAGGCUUCACAAUUCUACAAGCCAGGGUACAAAAACGUUGAAACAACAGAGGGAGGAAGAAAGGAAGGCAUCUGAAGCUAGUGGAAAUACAAAAGCAUGGAAUAGUUUGUUUAUGCGCCCUGAUACGGUAUGCUAACCUAAAAGAAAAAAAGGAGACACAAUUUUUUUCCCCCUUCCCCUGUCCUAAGAAAUUACUUUUUCGAUGUUGAUUUGUCUUUUAAAAAUUCAUGACCAUUUCACCAUGAAGUAAUUAUUCUAUCAUAAAUAAGGCUCUUUUGUUGUCCUAUUUUGGCCAGAUGUAUAAAGCAGUUGCAUUUCCAUGUCUGUGGUUAUGGUUGAUGUAAAUUUUUCUGUUUGAAUUCUGGCCUCAUUUUUGUGUUUCAUCUUGCCUGUUAAUAGGUUGUAGAAAACAUUGCUAGGAAACAUGGUGUUAGCAAGAGUGAUUUACUUGACCGAGAGGCCAAUGAUCUUGCUGUGCGUAUUGCUUUGGGCGAAACUCAAGUUAUUGCGGAGACCAAAAAAGCUCUUACGAAUGCUGGGGUAAAUGUUUCAUCUUUGGAGGAAUUUUCUGCUGGGAAAACUGAUGGUCUGAAAAGAAGCAACCAUGUAUUUUUAGUGAAGAACUUGCCUUAUGAUUCUUCUGAAGGUGAACUAGCUAAGAUGUUUGGUAAAUUUGGGAGUUUGGACAAAGUUAUUCUCCCUUCAACAAAAACAUUGGCCUUGGUAAGCAUCCUUUUCAGAUCUUAAUUAUUUUCCAUGUAUCCUGUUUUUUGAACAGCCACAGUUGGUGUUUUAAGACUGCUUGUAUGUAGAAUUGAUACCUCCCUAACCUGAUCCUUAUAGAAUGAAUAAAGAGGUCAGGAAAGAAUGCCGAAUGUCAUGAAUAAGUAGGUUGUCAGUGAUUUUCAUCAAUGUUGCAUGUAGCUGACUGAGGAUUUCAUUUUCUAGAGGAUACAGGAUGAAGAUGUAUAAAUCUGGGAAUAUACUGGGACGUUAAAUGUGGCUCUGUAUUAAACUGGGAUUAUGUUGUUUGGUGCAAUGAAGACUAUUCAAUUAAAGACGGCAAAAUGGGCAUGACUUGAGACUGUUACUUAACAGUGUAAUCUGCCAUUUGCAGGAUAUAAAUCUUGUGGUGACAUUUUUUGUUUUUGUUUAUAAGACUGAAGGCCAGGCUUCAUGUUCAAGUGACACUGGUGGCUUUUGAUUGAUGCUUUUCUUUGACACAAGUGGAAUUGGAUGCAACUCCAAUCAUUUAGAGGUGUAACUUACAAUUGAAUAUUGAAACAUAGAGUUUGAUUGCAUUUGUCCUUUUUUUCUCUUAGGAAGCAAUCUGAUUGAGUUGUUGGUGUGCCUCCUGAGACUAAUUUAGACAUUGGUUUACAUAGUUAGACUCGUAAAAAAACUUUUCUUUUUUUUUUUCCCCAUUUUUUACCCCUUGGUCAGUGGCUUUGAAAGUUUAACGAGUGGAUAGAAAAGUAGUUGUUUAGCUUCCAUUCAUUACACUUCUAUUUGGAGUAUUACCUGUAUUAUUCAGGAACAAUUUUUAGAUGUAUUUAAUAAUGAUUGUAUCAAUCUUGCUUCUAGAAAUGCCAAUCUUUGAGGGUUAAGUACUUCAGACUUGACUGAUUUUUAAUUUACUUAACCAUAUAUGGAGAAGAUGCUGCUCUAAAGAACCACAAUUGCUAUAUGCCUGAAUUAAUGCUGUUGUGUAGCCUAAUAGAAUUAGUAUUACAUUUCAGGUUGUUCUCCUCUUUCUUCCCCUCUUAAAUAUCUCCGUGCAUUGUUUUUCAGGUUGUUUUCCUCGAACCAGCUGAAGCAGCUGCUGCUUUCAAGGGUUUAGCAUACAAGCAUUACAAGUAUGUAUAUCUUUGUUUCUUUUAAGGCCAUUGGUUGAGCCCCUUGCAAAAGACAUGGAUAAUCAAUUUUUUAUGUGAAGUCUGACCAAAAGACUUCAGCUUCUAGAUUGGAACAUGGACUUGACCUGCUAACUCUAUAUUAAAUAUUCAAGAAAAGAUUUCUUAGCUAAAACUUUAGAACAUUGAUUUGACUUCACACAGCCAGACAAACACAUUCUCCUAUAUAUGCGUGGUCAGCACACCCGCAAACAGUAGAUAUGUUUGCUUGUUAGAUGCAAUUUUAUUUAUUUAUGUUUUUUUCCCCCCACACAGCAAUACAUCAGUUGUUUAUGAUAAGAAAAUGUAGUAUCGCUUUUGAUAUGAACUACCAUUUACGAUAGCAGAUUAGAUAAGUUUGAGUUGGUUAUUAAAGAAAAAUAACCUUCUGCUGACAACUUUUUCCAUACCUUUUCUUUUUAAAGUUUUCGUGUUUAUAGGUAGUUAAGGAAUAAAUAAAACAUAUCUGUAGAAAACUGUAAGAGUUCUUUCCUUACUAGACAUUAUAGUAGAGAUGAACGAAAUUGCAACACCCUUUAUGCAUAUCAAGUAGAAUAAUGCUAAGAAUACAAACUCUCAAAAACUAUUUUCUACUAAUUGGCAUGGCACUAUUGUAUGAUUCCCGUGUGGAUUAUAUUAUUUGCUCUUAUUAAAUGGAUUGACUUUUGUGUUUCUGUCCAGCCAAUACUUUAAUGUGAAAUCAGUUUGUAUGUAAUAUUUUGUUCCAAGAGUUUGUGUCUGUAGCAUCUAUCUAUUGAAUAAGAGGCAUACAAUAGCUACUUAAACAGUAUUUUUUUCUUGUAUUGAUAAUGAAGGGGUGUUCCAUUGUAUUUGGAGUGGGCUCCUAGUGAUGUCCUCAGUCAAAGUUCUACUUCCAAGGGUAAUCAAAAGAAUGAUGCUGUGGUUGGUGAACAUGAUGCCAAGAGAGCUCUUCUAGAGCAACAACUGGAAGGAGUAACAGAUGCUGAUAUUGAUCCUGAUAGAGUUGAGGUGUGUCAUAUUAAUGAAUUCUUAUCUUGCUUCUUUUCCCUGUUCUGCUUCAUGCCGUAUAAUUUUUAUGCUAAUUGUUUUCGUGAUUAUGCCUUGUUUUAUCUUGUUCCUUUAUGGUCCUUAAACAUGUCAAAUGUAUUCUUUCAAGUUGCUGUUAGUUUAUUGGCCGUAAGGUGGCUGUAGAUGAUUACAAUUCCUCUAGUCAAUAUCUUUGGGUCAUUUUUCUUUGUUCAUCAUUUAUAUGUUGGCGCACAUCGCAAAAAGAUUUUUGUCCAUUUGUCCAUUGCUUGUUGAUUGGAGAUCAACAACAAUGUUGGUAUGAAUCAUGUUAAACCACUGCAUUUGUGAGGUCUUUUCUUUAGAUUUAUAGCCAUCUUUUACUAUUUUAUUUUUAUGUAGAUGUCAUGGAUUUCUGGCAAUCUUAGAUUUGUGUUAUUUGUCUCAUUAUUUUUAUUUUUUUCUAAGUUCAUUCUCCCACGGCCCAACCCAACACCACCACCCAAAACAACAAAUCCGUAUGUGCUCAUUCUGUUGCAGCAUCUUGUUUUUCUUAUGAAUUUAACUAUUCAUCAAAAACAGAGGAAAACAGUGAAUUCUUUCCAUAUGCUUGGAUUCAGCAAUUUCAGUUGCUCAGUACUAUUUGUUCUAUCUGUGAUUUGAAAAGGAGGUUGAUACAUAUUAUAUAGAUUGUGUUGCAUCGUUUUUCUCUUAACUUCACUUUUUACGACAUAUGGUUGCUUCUAGAAAAGUCACAUUAUCAUAUUUCUUGAAUCAUAAAGUGACAAGAGUAAAUCAUAUGCUUACAGUGCUUCGAUAGAAACUUUCUAUCUCUAUGGAUUUGCGGUGUCUUUGCUUUUUGUUUCUGUUUAUGGUUUUUUCAUUCAUUUCUCUUUUUGCCUAUCAUGUUUCAGUCAAGAUCUUUAUUUGUCAAGAACUUGAAUUUUAAGACUUCUGAUGAGAAUUUGAGAAAGCAUUUUUGGUGAACACAUCAAGGAGGGAAGAAUUCUGAGCGUCAAGGUAAUUAUCUGGACACUUCAAAGAUAAUACAUGAUUUUCUUGAUUCUUUAAUUCACUCAUUUUAUGGUUCUGUUCCACCCUGUUACAGGUAAAGAAGCACCUGAAAAAUGGAAAGAAUGUUUCUAUGGGGUUUGGUUUUAUAGAGUUUGAUUCUGUGGAGACAGCAACAAAUGUAUGCAGAGAUCUACAGGUGGCUAGCAGAUGCUAAGUUAGGUUAAUAUCAUUAGAAUAUAGUUCAAAAUUUUGGAAACUGAUGCAUCGUCGACAAUGUCUCGUCUCUUUUUUAGGGAACUAUUUUGGAUGGGCAUGCUCUCAUCUUACAACUAUGUCAUGCCAAGAAGGAUGAACAAGUGGUGAAAAAGGCUGAGAAGGAUAAGAGUUCAACAAAAUUACUUGUGAGAAAUGUUGCUUUUGAGGCAUCAGAGAAAGAUCUGAGACAGCUGUUUAGCCCAUUUGGCCAGGUGGUUAUUUUUCUUUUGAUGAGUAAUGAUGCAUUUCAUUAAAAAUGCCUAGCAAGUAAAAAGGAAGGAACAGGACCAUGGAAUCUAAGACAAGUUGGAAAGAGUUAUUGCUAUAUUACAGCAAUAUUAAACUAUUGUUUGAUUAACCAGAUAACGAGACAAAAGUAAAGGUUAUAUGUAGGAUAAUAGAAGUUUUCAAUUAAAUAUCUAAAUUUGUUGCAAGAUGUGCACAGGUAUAAUCCCUUCUCAAGUAUUACCUGCAUUUAAAUUCAUUUCAGCGAUGCCGAAAGACUUAUAUCUGAACUUGCUGGACAUGCUUUUUCUCUUGUUGAUUUCUAUGUUUUUAUAUUUUUUUUGUAGAUAAAGAGCUUAAGGCUGCCAAUGAAGUUUGGAAAUCAUAGGGGCUUUGCAUUCGUUGAGUAUGUAACAAAGCAAGAGGCGCAAAAUGCACUUGAAGCACUUUCAAACACCCAUCUCUACGGUCGGCAUCUGGUAAGCUGUCUGCCAGUUCUUAUAGAUAUUCUCUGUUGCACAUGAUCAGAUAAUAUCUAUAAUUGCCCCACAUUUCAGGUGAUGGAGAGAGCAAAGGAGGGGAGAGUCUGGAAGAAUUGCGGGCUCGAACUGCUGCUCAGUUUACCGAUGAGGUAAAUGGGUUUCAAAUUCAACUAAGUUGUCUAAGAAGAGGAAGCACAUGACAAUCUUGGACGAAGGUACAAUGAAGUUUGAAAGAAUUGCUGAGUAGAGUGCUUUAUAUGAAUUUUUCUCGUGUGUUGAGAGAAAUGAGGUUUGUCAUGUAGUUACUUUUUAAGGUUUAUUAAUUAUAUUAUAAGUUAUGUUGGCUCCAUUUUUGUCUGUUGGAGUCAAUAUCUGUUUGUAAUUGUUUCUUGUAGGUGAGGGAACAAAGCAUAUUUUGUAGAAUUUCUUGAUGUAAAUCAUCUAGAUAUGUCAUAGAAGAGUUAAAAUUUUCAGAAAUUUCUUAUUGUUUUACUCCACUGUUUUCUAUUGUUUAAUGCAAAAGUUUGAUUGCCUCUUCUAAUUCACUUGGGAUUUAGUUCCCUCCUAAACAAAAUUUUAGUUGGAUGCAAAUGGGUUAUAUGAAUAAAUAAAAAUAUAUAUAUAUAUAUAUUCAGAUGUUAGCCGUCAUUGCUAGAAACCAAGAUAAGCAUCCGUUUCAUUGAUGUUGGUUUGUCAUCACCGAUACUUCCAGUCCUUGGUUAAACUAACUACAAUUCAAGAGGGUGUCGUUUAUGCUAACUUCUUCUCACGUUUGUAGAUUACGAAACUUCUUCUCAUGUCAAAUAAGUUUUCUGUUGAUCCUUGAAGGAAUCAUUCUCUUUAGCUCUUCUUCAAAUCUCUUCAUACUCGGCCUCGGCGAACGUAUAGGAAUGGGAGUCCCAGUCUCCCCAUCUUCUUUUUGGUACCUGUUUAAGUAACUAAAAAUAGACUUAGCACCAGCAAUCCCAGCAAAAACUGGUUUUCCUCCACCCCAAAUCAAUUCUAUCAAAUCCGACCUGCUUAAAUCGGACACAUUGUAGUUCCCCUUAAUCGGGUACCUCGGCCCGUCGCCCUUUGACCUCCAUAAGAUACGCCGCAGAUCUUAUAUGCUCUUUACUCAUUUCAGCCUUUGCUUUUUUCACCAGUGCAACAGCAUACCCUAAUGGAUUGUUGCAUAAAGCACCGCCCUUCAAACGCACAGCUGGGAAUGCCACUGCGUUACCAUAAUACCCAGAGCGUCAACUAGACAUGAAAAUUGAACAGUGUAUUUAGGGUCUAGUUGAAGUGCAAUUGUUCUACAUCUCCACAUACAAGCAGCCAACAACUCAAAUGUUGAACACACUUGCCUUUGGCCAAGUGUUAAGAGCUACUCCCUCAUAAGUGUGAGGGUAGCAGUUCGAACCUCAACAAAAACAGUUUUCUCCCCACAAAAGCAUUUGUGGGGGUUUAAUUUGAGUGAAGGCAGUCAGACAGUCUUCUCCCUGUCCCUCAAAUAUCAGCGAGAGAUUUCUAAGGUGUAAUGGAAGUUGAUUUUUGGAUUGGUACCUAUGAACGUAUCACACUUGUGGUUGAUUUCUAGUGCAUAAGCGUUCCCGUUUGCCCAACAGGGAAUAGGAAGGUGUGUUUGAACCUCUUGCCAUCUCCUGUAUGGUUUUCACAAAUUGCACCAGACCAAGUUCAUCACACAUAUUGUGGUUGAAAUGUAUCGCAAGAGUGAAUCCUCCACACAUCAAACGAGUCACCUACACAUAUGAACAAAGAAAAACCAUGAAAUUUAAUGAUUAAAUACUUAAAAAGUACAGAAUUAUGUAAUAUAUAGAAGUAAGAAUGACCUUUUGGUCCCUAAUAUUUUACAUUUUUACCACUAAAUUAGGACCAUUUUCAUUUACUCACUAUAUUUGGACAAUGUAAUUUUAAAGAAAAUUAUCGAUGGUCCACUGAAUUUUUAUAGAAAGUUCCAAAUACUCAAAUUCUUUAAAAAUAUUUCUUUUUUUGAGGAGUUUAAAAAAUAUUCUUUAAAAAAUAUUUCUUAUCUACUUAAGUUUUCGAAUUGUAUUAAGAAGCACUUUUCUGUGAACUCAAUGAGAUAAUUUAGUGCAUCUUUGUAAAAAGACUAAUAAAAAUAAUGUUCAAUGAGUACACUUGACUUAAAGAACCCAAAACAAUGUGUUUUCUUUGUUAUAAUGUUAUAAUGUAAUAGGUAAUUGAAAAAUAUAUAUGAAUGAGAAAAAAUAGUGAGAAUAUAUUUUUCUUAUUCAUACAAGUUUGCAAUCUUUACAUUAUAUACUUGUUUGACUAGGCCUAUAUAAGGAAGCUAUAGGAAACUAGGAAAAAUAAAUAUAUGCUAUACAAGGAAAAAAUAAAUACAUGUACACAAAAUAUAGGAUAUAAUCUUUGACUUUCAACACUCCCCCUCAAGCUGGCUCGAAGAUAUCUAUCAUUCCCAGCUUGGAAUUCAGUGAUUGAAAAACUUGUUUUGAUAAUCCCUUGGUGAGAAUAUCAGCUACUUACUUUUGAGUAGUAAUAUAAUAGAAUGCAUAUUAGGCCUUUCUCCAGCUUCUAUUUUUAUAAAGUGUCUAUCAAUCUCGAUAUGUUUUGUCCUAUCAAUGUUGGACUGGAUUAUGAGCAAUGCUAAUGGCAACUUUAUUAUCACAAUACAAUCUCAUUGAUUCAGUUUUCCACACCUUCAACUCUAUUAGAAACAUUCUCAGCUACAUAAGCUCGCAAAUUCCCAAUGCCAUUGCUCUAAAACUCAGCUUCAGCACUUGAUCUUGCAACCACUGGUUGUUUUUUGCUUCUCCAAGUAACUAGAUUUCUCCCAACAAAUGUACAAUAACAUGAUGUUGACUUUUUUAUCAACAAAUGAUCCAGCCCAAUCUGCAUCUGUAUAUGCCUCAACCCUUAGGUGAUUAUUCUUAGAUAAUAAAAUGCCUUUUUCCUGGAGAUGUCUUUAAAUAUUCCAGUAUCCUAAACACAACUUCCAUGUGCUCUACAUUAGGAGAAUGCAUAAAUUGACUCACAACGCCUACUGCAAAUGUAAUGUCUGGACGAGUAUGACAUAAUAGAUUAGCUUUCCAACUAAUCUUUGGUACUGUUCCUUAUUAACCAACCUGCUUUUAGUAGUUGCCCCAAGUCUAUGGUUGGAUUCUAUAGGAACAUCGCUAGGUUUGCAUCCUAACAUCCCAGUUUCUUCCAAGAGAUCCAGAAUGUAUUUCCUUUGUGACAAAAAUACCCUUUCUGAGACCUAGCCACUUCAAUUCCGAGGAAGUAUUUCAGAGAACCUAGGUCUUUAGUUUCAAACUCUUUGGUUAACAACAUCUUGAGUCUUUCAAUUUCAUCUCUGUCAUUUCCAGUCAAGAUGAUAUCAUCCACAUAUAUAAUAAGGACAAUGAGCUUAUCUUCUUUACCAUGCUUAAGAAACAUGGUAUGAUCAUUAUGGCUUUGUCGAUAUCCACAUUUGAGAAUAAAUCUUGUAAAUCUGUCAAACCAGGCUCUUGGUGAUUGCUUGAGCCCGUAUAAAGACUUUUCCAGCUUGCAAACUUUUCCUCUUUCAAACAUAUUCUCAAACCUUGGUGAUGGAUCCAUAUACACCUCCUCUUCUAAAUCUCCAUGGAGAAAUGCAUUCUUCACAUCUAGCUGUUGUAAUGGCCAUUCUAAAUUUGCAACAAGUGACAAUAGGACCCGAUUAGAGUUCAUUUUUGCAACGGGGGCAAAUGUCUCUUGGUAAUCAAUUCCAUAUGUUUGAGUAUAUCCCUUAGCCACCAGCCUAGCCUUGAAUCUCUCAAUUGAUCCAUCAGCCUUAUGCUUAACUGUAAAUACCCAUUUACAACCCACAAUUUUCUUUCCAGAAGGCAAGUCUGCAAGACCCAAGUUCUAUUUUUAUAUAAUGCUCUUAGUUCUUCAUGAAUCGCUUCUCUCCACUUUGGAUUUGCAAGAGCAUCAUGUACUGUUCUAGGAAUAGUUACAGAUGACAAAUUAGUAGCAAAAGCUUUAAAUGAUGGUGACAAUCUAUGAUAAGAGACAAACUUAGAAAUAAGAUGUUUAGUACAAGUUCUAACACCUUUUCUAUGAGCAAUAGGCAAAUCUAAAUCUAAAUCAAGUGAUCGAAUAGAGUUUAAAUGCAAUUUAGACUCAGAUUGAACAGUACCUGUGUCUUCCAAUACCUGUAUGUUCGGUUCAGAAUUUUGGCAGUCAGGAGAUGUACAAAUUAUUUUAUUUCGUCGAGAAUAUACCUUUAGCUUUUGAGUAUCCUCUUGAUUUUGUGCGGUGGAUGGUUGAAUUUGUGAAAACACUUGCUGGUCAUCACUUGGGUCAGGCUGUUUUUGUGGGGAAGAACAAUGUUGUUCUUUUUGCUAAUUGUUAUUAGAAGGUGGUAGAUUUUGUGGAGAGCAAACUAUCAAAGGUGGAGUUGAAUUUGUGAUAUCAUCUCUGAAAUAUAGCUCAUCUGAGUGUGUGGAUUUUGGAAAAAAUUUAAAAAACUAAUCUUUAAUAUUAUAUUCCUCCCCCUAAAGAGAGGUUUUGGAGAAAUAAUGGUUAAUUUAAAAAAAAGUCACAUCCAUGGUUACAAAAUAUUUCCUAGUUGGAGGAUGAAAACACUUGUACCCUUUUUGUGUAGGAGAAUAACCCACAAACACAUAUUUAAGAGACCUAGGAUCAAGCUUACUUUUGUUAUGAUUCUUGUCAUUAACAACAACAACACACCCAAAAACCUUAGGAGGAAGAGAACUAAAGGACCGAGACAUGGGAUAAAGUUGCUGAAGAAGUUCGAUUGGAGUUUUAAACUUCAAAGUACUAGUAGGCAAUCUAUUUAUGAGAUAACAGGCAGUUAAAACUGCUUCACCCCACAAAUAAUUUAGUACCCCCAUAGUAAACAUCAAAGAUCGAGCAAUUUCAAGUAAAUGUCUGUUUUUUCUUUCUGCAACUCCAUUUUGUUGAGGAGUAUCAACACAAGAGGAUUGAUGAAUAAUUUCAUUCUCAGUCAAAUAAUUUCCCAACAUAGAAGAAAAAAAUUCUUUGCCAUUGUCAGUUCGAAACACUUGAAUUUUUGNNNNNNNNNNNNNNNNNNNNNNNNNNNNNNNNNNNNNNNNNNNNNNNNNNNNNNNNNNNNNNNNNNNNNNNNNNNNNNNNNNNNNNNNNNNNNNNNNNNNNNNNNNNNNNNNNNNNNNNNNNNNNNNNNNNNNNNNNNNNNNNNNNNNNNNNNNNNNNNNNNNNNNNNNNNNNNNNNNNNNNNNNNNNNNNNNNNNNNNNNNNNNNNNNNNNNNNNNNNNNNNNNNNNNNNNNNNNNNNNNNNNNNNNNNNNNNNNNNNNNNNNNNNNNNNNNNNNNNNNNNNNNNNNNNNNNNNNNNNNNNNNNNNNNNNNNNNNNNNNNNNNNNNNNNNNNNNNNNNNNNNNNNNNNNNNNNNNNNNNNNNNNNNNNNNNNNNNNNNNNNNNNNNNNNNNNNNNNNNNNNNNNNNNNNNNNNNNNNNNNNNNNNNNNNNNNNNNNNNNNNNNNNNNNNNNNNNNNNNNNNNNNNNNNNNNNNNNNNNNNNNNNNNNNNNNNNNNNNNNNNNNNNNNNNNNNNNNNNNNNNNNNNNNNNNNNNNNNNNNNNNNNNNNNNNNNNNNNNNNNNNNNNNNNNNNNNNNNNNNNNNNNNNNNNNNNNNNNNNNNNNNNNNNNNNNNNNNNNNNNNNNNNNNNNNNNNNNNNNNNNNNNNNNNNNNNNNNNNNNNNNNNNNNNNNNNNNNNNNNNNNNNNNNNNNNNNNNNNNNNNNNNNNNNNNNNNNNNNNNNNNNNNNNNNNNNNNNNNNNNNNNNNNNNNNNNNNNNNNNNNNNNNNNNNNNNNNNNNNNNNNNNNNNNNNNNNNNNNNNNNNNNNNNNNNNNNNNNNNNNNNNNNNNNNNNNNNNNNNNNNNNNNNNNNNNNNNNNNNNNNNNNNNNNNNNNNNNNNNNNNNNNNNNNNNNNNNNNNNNNNNNNNNNNNNNNNNNNNNNNNNNNNNNNNNNNNNNNNNNNNNNNNNNNNNNNNNNNNNNNNNNNNNNNNNNNNNNNNNNNNNNNNNNNNNNNNNNNNNNNNNNNNNNNNNNNNNNNNNNNNNNNNNNNNNNNNNNNNNNNNNNNNNNNNNNNNNNNNNNNNNNNNNNNNNNNNNNNNNNNNNNNNNNNNNNNNNNNNNNNNNNNNNNNNNNNNNNNNNNNNNNNNNNNNNNNNNNNNNNNNNNNNNNNNNNNNNNNNNNNNNNNNNNNNNNNNNNNNNNNNNNNNNNNNNNNNNNNNNNNNNNNNNNNNNNNNNNNNNNNNNNNNNNNNNNNNNNNNNNNNNNNNNNNNNNNNNNNNNNNNNNNNNNNNNNNNNNNNNNNNNNNNNNNNNNNNNNNNNNNNNNNNNNNNNNNNNNNNNNNNNNNNNNNNNNNNNNNNNNNNNNNNNNNNNNNNNNNNNNNNNNNNNNNNNNNNNNNNNNNNNNNNNNNNNNNNNNNNNNNNNNNNNNNNNNNNNNNNNNNNNNNNNNNNNNNNNNNNNNNNNNNNNNNNNNNNNNNNNNNNNNNNNNNNNNNNNNNNNNAUAUAUAUAUAUAUUCAGAUGUUAGCCGUCAUUGCUAGAAACCAAGAUAAGCAUCCGUUUCAUUGAUGUUGGUUUGUCAUCACCGAUACUUCCAGUCCUUGGUUAAACUAACUACAAUUCAAGAGGGUGUCGUUUAUGCUAACUUCUUCUCACGUUUGUAGAUUACGAAACUUCUUCUCAUGUCAAAUAAGUUUUCUGUUGAUCCUUGAAGGAAUCAUUCUCUUUAGCUCUUCUUCAAAUCUCUUCAUACUCGGCCUCGGCGAACGUAUAGGAAUGGGAGUCCCAGUCUCCCCAUCUUCUUUUUGGUACCUGUUUAAGUAACUAAAAAUAGACUUAGCACCAGCAAUCCCAGCAAAAACUGGUUUCCUCCACCCCAAAUCAAUUCUAUCAAAUCCGACCUGCUUAAAUCGGACACAUUGUAGUUCCCCUUAAUCGGGUACCUCGGCCGUCGCCCUUUGACCUCCAUAAGAUACGCCGCAGAUCUUAUAUGCUCUUUACUCAUUUCAGCCUUUGCUUUUUUCACCAGUGCAACAGCAUACCCUAAUGGAUUGUUGCAUAAAGCACCGCCCUUCAAACGCACAGCUGGGAAUGCCACUGCGUUACCAUAAUACCCAGAGCGUCAACUAGACAUGAAAAUUGAACAGUGUAUUUAGGGUCUAGUUGAAGUGCAAUUGUUCUACAUCUCCACAUACAAGCAGCCAACAACUCAAAUGUUGAACACACUUGGCCUUUGGCCAAGUGUUAAGAGCUACUCCCUCAUAAGUGUGAGGGUAGCAGUUCGAACCUCAACAAAAACAGUUUUCUCCCCACAAAAGCAUUUGUGGGGGUUUAAUUUGAGUGAAGGCAGUCAGACAGUCUUCUCCCUGUCCCUCAAAUAUCAGCGAGAGAUUUCUAAGGUGUAAUGGAAGUUGAUUUUUGGAUUGGUACCUAUGAACGUAUCACACUUGUGGUUGAUUUCUAGUGCAUAAGCGUUCCCGUUGCCCAACAGGGAAUAGGGAAGGUGUGUUUGAACCUCUUGCCAUCUCCUGUAUGGUUUUCACAAAUUGCACCAGACCAAGUUCAUCACACAUAUUGUGGUUGAAAUGUAUCGCAAGAGUGAAUCCUCCACACAUCAAACGAGUCACCUACACAUAUGAAACAAAGAAAACCAUGAAAUUUAAUGAUUAAAUACUUAAAAAGUACAGAAUUAUGUAAUAUAUAGAAGUAAGAAUGACCUUUUGGUCCCUAAUAUUUUACAUUUUUACCACUAAAUUAGGACCAUUUUUCAUUUACUCACUAUAUUGGACAAUGUAAUUUUAAAGAAAAUUAUCGAUGGUCCACUGAAUUUUUAUAGAAAGUUCCAAAUACUCAAAUUCUUUAAAAAAUAUUUCUUUUUUUGAGGAGUUUAAAAAAUAUUCUUUAAAAAAUAUUUCUUAUCUACUUAAGUUUUCGAAUUGUAUUAAGAAGCACUUUUCUGUGAACUCAAUGAGAUAAUUUAGUGCAUCUUUGUAAAAAGACUAAUAAAAAUAAUGUUCAAUGAGUACACUUGACUUAAAGAACCCAAAACAAUGUGUUUUCUUUGUUAUAAUGUUAUAAUGUAAUAGGUAAUUGAAAAAUAUAUAUGAAUGAGAAAAAAUAGUGAGAAUAUAUUUUUCUUAUUCAUACAAGUUGCAAUCUUUACAUUAUAUACUUGUUUGACUAGGCUAUAUAAGGAAGCUAUAGGAAACUAGGAAAAAUAAAUAUAUGCUAUACAAGGAAAAAAUAAAUACAUGUACACAAAAUUAGGAUAUAAUCUUUGACUUUCAACACUCCCCCUCAAGCUGGCUCGAAGAUAUCUAUCAUUCCCAGCUUGGAAUUCAGUGAUUGAAAAACUUGUUUUGAUAAUCCCUUGGUGAGAAUAUCAGCUACUUACUUUUGAGUAGUAAUAUAUAGAAUGCAUAUUAGGCCUUUCUCCAGCUUCUAUUUUAUAAGUGUCUAUCAAUCUCGAUAUGUUUUGUCCUAUCAUGUUGGACUGGAUUAUGAGCAAUGCUAAUGGCAACUUUAUUAUCACAAUAACAAUCUCAUUGAUUCAGUUUUCCACACCUUCAACUCUAUUAGAAACAUUCUCAGCUACAUAAGCUCGCAAAUUCCAAUGCCAUUGCUCUAAACUCAGCUUCAGCACUUGAUCUUGCAAACCACUGGUUGUUUUUUUGCUUCUCCAAGUAACUAGAUUUCUCCCAACAAAUGUACAAUAACAUGAUGUUGACUUUUUAUCAACAAAAUGAUCCAGCCCAAUCUGCAUCUGUAUAUGCCUCAACCCUUAGGUGAUUAUUCUUAGAUAAUAAAAUGCCUUUUCCUGGAGAUGUCUUUAAAUAUUCCAGUAUCCUAAACUUCCAUGUGCUCUACAUUAGGAGAAUGCAUAAAUUGACUCACAACGCCUACUGCAAAUGUAAUGUCUGGACGAGUAUGACACAAUAGAUUAGCUUUCCAACUAAUCUUUGGUACUGUUCCUUAUUAACCAACCUGCUUUUAGUAGUUGCCCCAAGUCUAUGGUUGGAUUCUAUAGGAACAUCGCUAGGUUUGCAUCCUAACAUCCCAGUUUCUUCCAAGAGAUCCAGAAUGUAUUUCCUUUGUGACAAAAAUAUACCUUUCUGAGACCUAGCCACUUCAAUUCCGAGGAAGUAUUUCAGAGAACCUAGGUCUUUAGUUUCAAACUCUUUGGUUAACAACAUCUUGAGUCAAUUUCAUCUCUGUCAUUUCCAGUCAAGAUGAUAUCAUCCACAUAUAUAAUAAGGACAACGAGCUUAUCUUCUUUACCAUGCUUAAGAAACAUGGUAUGAUCAUUAUGGCUUUGUCGAUAUCCACAUUUGAGAAUAAAUCUUGUAAAUCUGUCAAACCAGGCUCUUGGUGAUUGCUUGAGCCCGUAUAAAAGACUUUUCCAGCUUGCAAACUUUUCCUCUUUCAAACAUAUUCUCAAACCUUGGUGAUGGAUCCAUAUACACCUCCUCUUCUAAAUCUCCAUGGAGAAAUGCAUUCUUCACAUCUAGCUGUUGUAAUGGCCAUUCUAAAUUUGCAACAAGUGACAAUAGGACCCGAUUAGAGUUCAUUUUUGCAACGGGGGCAAAUGUCUCUUGGUAAUUUCCAUAUGAGUAUAUCCCUUAGCCACCAGCCUAGCCUUGAAUCUCUCAAUUGAUCCAUCAGCCUUAUGCUUAACUGUAAAUACCCAUUUACAACCCACAAUUUUCUUUCUAGAAGGCAAGUCUGCAAGACCCCAAGUUCUAUUUUAUAUAAUGCUCUUAGUUCUUCAUGAAUCGCUUCUCUCCACUUUGGAUUUGCAAGAGCAUCAUGUACUGUUCUAGGAAUAGUUACAGAUGACAAAUUAGUAGCAAAAGCUUUAAAUGAUGGUGACAAUCUAUGAUAAGAGACAAACUUAGAAAUAAGAUGUUUAGUACAAGUUCUAAACACCUUUUCUAUGAGCAAUAGGCAAAUCUAAAUCUAAAUCAAGUGAUCGAAUAGAGUUUAAAUGCAAUUUAGACUCAGAUUGAACAGUACCUGUGUCUUCCAAUACCUGUAUGUUCGGUUCAGAAUUUUGGCAGUCAGGAGAUGUACAAAUUAUUUUAUUUCGUCGAGAAUAUACCUUUAGCUUUUGAGUAUCCUCUUGAUUUUGUGCGGUGGAUGGUUGAAUUUGUGAAAACACUUGCUGGUCAUCACUUGGGUCAGGCUGUUUUUGUGGGGAAGAACAAUGUUGUUCUUUUUGCUAAUUGUUAUUAGAAGGUGGUAGAUUUGUGGAGAGCAAACUAUCAAAGGUGGAGUUGAAUUUGUGAUAUCAUCUCUGAAAUAUAGCUCAUCUGAGUGUGUGGAUUUUGGAAAAAAUUUAAAAAACUAAUCUUUAAUAUUAUAUUCCUCCCCCUAAAGAGAGGUUUUGGAGAAAUAAUGGUUAAUUUCAAAAAAAAGUCACAUCCAUGGUUACAAAAUAUUUCCUAGUUGGAGGAUGAAAACACUUGUACCCUUUUUGUGUAGGAGAAUAACCCACAAACACAUAUUUAAGAGGCCUAGGAUCAAGCUUACUUUUGUUAUGAUUCUUGUCAUUAACAACAACAACACACCCAAAAACCUUAGGAGGAAGAGAACUAAAGGACCGAGACAUGGGAUAAAGUUGCUGAAGAAGUUCGAUUGGAGUUUUAAACUUCAAAGUACUAGUAGGCAAUCUAUUUAUGAGAUAACAGCAGUUAAAACUGCUUCACCCCACAAAUAAUUUAGUACCCCCAUAGUAAACAUCAAAGAUCGAGCAAUUUCAAGUAAAUGUCUGUUUUUUCUUUCUGCAACUCCAUUUUGUUGAGGAGUAUCAACACAAGAGGAUUGAUGAAUAAUUUCAUUCUCAGUCAAAUAAUUUCCCAACAUAGAAGAAAAAAAUUCUUUGCCAUUGUCAGUUCGAAACACUUGAAUUUUUGUUUGAAAUUGGGUUUGAACCACUUUACGGAAGAUUUGAAAAGUUUUAGAAACUUCAGAUUUUUUCUUUAAUAAACACCCAACAAACUCGAGUGUGAUCAUCAAUAAAAGUGACAAACCACUUAGCUCCAAAAUUAUUGGGAAAACAUAGAGGACCCCAUACAUCACUAUGUAUAAGAGAGAAUGGUUGUGAAACUUUGUAAGUUUGGGCAGAAAAUGAGUACGAUGAUGCUUGGACAGUUCAGACACUUCACAUUUAAAAUUAAUGUCACUUUUAUUCUUAAACAAUGUCGGGAAUAACAACUUUAAAUAUGAAAAAUUUGGAUGUCCUAAUCUGAGAUGCAUCAAACUAAUUUCAUUCUCACUAGGCACUUGAGAAACAAUUUUGUCAACUAAAGAUAGAUUACUCAAAGCUUCAGGCUUCUCUUCGAAAUAAUAAAGUCCAUCCACCUCCUUAGCACUGCCAAUCUUCUUCCCUGUACACAGGUCCUGAAAUUCACAAUUGGAAGAAUAAAAUUUAGCCAUACAGUUAAGGUCUUUUGUAAGUUUACUGACAAACAAAAGAUUACAAGACAGAUUAGGGACGUGCAAUACUGAUUUUUAAGAUCAUUGUUUUAGAAACUGAAAUUGAACCUUUUCCUGCAACUGAAGAAAGAGACCCAUAAGCGAUUUUCACAUUUUGUUUACUAGAAAGUGGUUUGUAAGUAGGAAUAAGUUGGACAAACCAAGUCAUAUGAUCGGUUGCCCCUGAAUCAAUGAUCCAAGGGCAAGAAGUAUUUGAAGAGAUGCUGAAAGCAUUUAGAAAAUUACCUAUUUGGGCUAGAUGAGCAGAAGGUGUUUGACUCAUGAACCUGACAAGUUGCUCAAGUUGUUCUUUAGUGAACAGAUUUGAUCCCUGACCCCCUGAGUUUGCAUUGGCAUUAUCAAUUGCAUCUUGAAAGCCCUUUGAAUUUUGUCCAGAAGACUUGGUACCUUUCCCUGAGUUUGUAGCCUUUCAUGGAGCUUCCAACAAAACUCUUUGGUAUGUCUUGGUUAUGGCAAUGAUCACACCAAAGUUUAUCUAUGUCAUCUUUCUUCUUGCUCAUAUUCUUUUGUUCACUUACCAAUGCUGAAUCAGUAGCACAAGUAAUCAAGGCAGAAUUAUCAGUAUUAGAGCUAUUCGUCAUUAUCUUUUUUCUACUUUCUUCCCUUCUCACAUAUGCAUAGACUUCCCUAAUUGCGGGAAUAGGUUCUUUGCUUAGUACUCGUCCUCUAACUUCAUCCAAAUAUGGAUUCAAACAAGCCAAAAAAUUCAAACACCCUCUCCUUCUCCCGUAACUUCUUAAAUCUUUUACUGUCAUCUCUACACUUCCAUUCUCCAUCAUAAUACAAACCCAAUUCUUGCCAUAAGCUAUUCAUGAUAUUGUAAUAUGCAGUCACAAUGUCACUUCCUGUUUUGGUUUCAUGAAUACGAUACUUAAGUUCGUACAACUGUGCAGUAUUUCCAAGAUCAGAAUAUGUCUCUGUGACUGCAUCCCAUAAAUCUCAUGCUAAUGGUAAGAAAAGAAACGCAUGACUAAUGUGAGGAUCCAUUGAAUUAAUAAGCCAUGACAUUACCAUAGAGUUCUGUUCAUCCCAUAUUUUAUACGAAGGGUCAUCAGCCUCUGGUAUGUCUAUUGACCCAUCAAGAUAGCCCAUUUUACCUUUUCCCUUCACAUACAACUUCACAGACUGUGACCACUGCAGAAAAUUCUGGNNNNNUUAAUUAAUUAANNNNNUCUCAAAUUGUAAACAUAUCAAUAUAUUAAAAUAAUUAAUUAAAAAACUGACAAGCAUCCAACCGCACGUUUUUCAUUUGUUCAUUUGUGAACUAAAUUACAUUUAUAUUCUACUCCGAAUAUGACAUUUUUUUUCACGAUGAUGGUCUUCUUUUGUUUGCGCCAUAAAUGUUUACACGUGGGGCUGGUCACAAGCAUUAUUGUACUGGACAGAAUCCGGUGCUGAUAUGAGCAAGUCGUAAGCACCGGAUCAAUGACCCGUAAUUAUUUAGGACCCACAUAAAAUAAUUGUUGAUCAUUAAUCUAGUGCUCAGGAUUUACUCAUAUCAGCACCGAAUCCGUACCCUAUUGUACAUGUUUAAUUAGAGCCACCCAAAUUGCAAAACAAAUGGAAUGCAUCGCAAUCGUGUAUUUUUUUUAUGAAAGCCCACGUGUUUCUCAAAAUUGAUGAAGGACCACUUCUGUCUCGAUGUGGCUUAUCUACAGGUUAGAUGCUCGGGGAAACGUAUAAUAAUGGGUCCUCGGAAUGCAGUCCCAUCCACGUGAUACAUGCAUUCAAACUCUCUUAUAAUCUGAUUUUUUUCUGGGAUUUUUUUUUAGAGGUAAUUUAAGUAUACUUAAGAGCUAAAAUUUAAUUUACUUUUAAUUUUCCUUUUUAAAUGCCAAAACACAACAUUUAGUGGCCAAUUACAAUUCGAAAACUAACGGAGUUUUAAAGUGAGACUCAUUUGAGUUCUUUCUCUGCACAUUUUAUAACCGCUUUCUUCUUCCCCGGCUUCUUCAAAACCUUUAAAAGAUUAAUUAGUUAAUUUGGUAAUGAAGAAUUCACCAAAUUAAUUUUUUUAAAAAUAAGAGCUGGCUAUUUAACUUUUUUGAGCAAUAACAUGCAAACAAGACAUGUACAAACUACAACCCCAAUGGUCCAUCACUCAUUGUUGUGAGCAUCGGAUACUUUACAAAAGUGUGAGAUCGCGCACUCUAAGAUUGUUCGCACAUACAAAAUUAAAUACGAAAAUCAGUUUGAACUUUCAUAAGAUUCUUUUACCUUACCACAAAACAAGAAAUACGAUAGAUUUCUCCCAAAUCAUUGGUGGGAGCAGAAUUCUAAAUUAUAAUUAGACCUCUGAAUUAUAUAUUACAAAUUAUUUUCAAGAACUCAAAGUGUAAGAUAUCAAUAAUUUGUAAUAAUUCAAAAACAUCGACAAGCAUCCCAGCCGCACUUUUUUCAUUUGUUCAUUUGUGAAAAAAGUACAUUUAUUUGGACUCGACUAGCUUACAGAAUCUUAAGGUACAGACUGCAGCAUCAGCCGUUGGAUGUUUGGAUGUGGAGUGAGAAACUAAACCAUAGAAAAUCGAUGUGGGAUGACGGGAGAUGUUUGUUACAGAAUCUGUACCAUAGACAGGUUUUAUUACAUAGAUUUUUUUUUUAUGUCUUCUUUAUCGCCAUAAAUGAUGACAACAGCAAAGGUGGGGUUGGUUACAAGCACUAUUGUACUAUGUUUAAUUUGAACCGUCCAAAUUGCAAGGCAGAUGGAGAUUUUUUUGGUGAGUCAAUUUGUCAUAACUCGUUCUGCGGUUUGAAAGUAGGGACAAUGACAAAAGGAAAAAAAUGGCAGACAAAUUAUCCCACAUUUACCCUCGUGGUCUGCUGCAAUGCAUGAUUUUUAAUUAUAAUUAAAAUUGUUUUUAUUUUUAUUUAAAGUGAAAUAAGGUCUCUUUUCCAAUAAUAAAUAACAGUCUUUUAAGACCCCGAUCCAAAUUCGACGAUGCGUGAAUUAAAUUAAAAAAAAAAAGAGGGGUCAUCCAAGUAACUCAGUCCUAAAUGGCAUCCAAAAUUUCUCAAGUUCUAUCGGUUACCUGGAAGGCAGCGGGGCCUAAUUGCUCCGUGAGGCCAACACCAAGGGCAGUGAAGCAACCUUCAGAUAUUGAUGACUUAGAAAGGCGAAGGAUCAGAUACCAAUAAUAUUCUUUCACAAGAAUGACCCUUCACCUUCGAUGCAAGGAUCAGAUACCAAUAAUAUGGUAAAUAUACUCAUUCAAGUAGUCAAGCUUACAGUAAGAUAAAUAGAUAAAGAUUAAUGGCCGUAGUUUAAUUAUGUAAAUACAAUAUACAUAUGCCAUAAAUUAUUAUGAAAUGUGAUAAAAAUUUAAUUAUUUUAAAACGAGAUGAAUAUGUAUAAUUAAACUACAGCUGUUAAUUCGUUGUCUACUUAUUUUCGCGGUUAGUUUGGCUACCUUGAUUUUCUUAAAAAUAAUUAAAAAAAAAGUUAUUACUGGUUGAUUUAUUAUUAAGAAAAUGAUAUUCUCACUUUUUACAAAGUGAGAACAACACUGAGCACCAAAUACUGUGUUUUGUGCUCAAUAUAAAAACUCACUGUUCUCAAAAUACAACACUCUCAAUCUAUCUCUUGUCUCGCUCCCUCACUCUCUCUUUCUCGUGUUGCCCAAUUUUCUAAAUUUUCCGCAACUCUAGAUCUUCAACUAUAGUGGCUUUUUCCAUAUUCUUUAUUUCUACAAAAUAAAUAUAAUUCAUAUUAAUAAACUGAAAACAACUAAAGAUUGCUAAAGUGAGCCACAUACAAGUAUGCUAUAUAAUUUAAAAAAGAAAAAAUAUCAUUUAUUGCAAAUUCUUAUAUGGAUUUCGAAAAUGUCCGAUUGCUUGUUUCCUCUAUAAAUUUCUAAUCCGAAUUGAGAAUCAAUUCGGUUAAUCCUUUUCUGGUUUUAACUCGUAAAUUUCUUUGUAUUUUGUGAUUUUUAUUUUUAUAUAAACUAGUUUUUUUAUUUUAUUUUUUAAACUCAUUGCAAUAAACUUUCAAUUCGGUUUGAUUUUUUUUGGAGCAACGAUUUUUUAACCCACCCCCAUUUGUAAUCAAAAAGCAACUAGUUGAGUGAGGCAAGUUUUUGCUUCAGCCUUAAGAAUUAAUAUGGGAAAUAUACUCGUUCAAGUAGUCAAGCCUAUAAUAAGGAUAAAUAGAUAACGGAUCAACGGUUAUAAUUUAAUUAUACGAAUGUGGUGUGCAUAUCUAUCAUAAAUUAUCAUAAAAUAUGGUAAAUCUCAAUUCUCUUGAAACAUGAUAAAUAUGUGCAAUUAAAUUAUAGCUGUUAAUUCGUUGUUCAUUUUUUUUUAUUGUCAGCUUGCCUACCUUGAUUUUCCUAAAAAUUGGGAAAAAAAAACUUAUUGUUUGUGUCAAAGGAUUGCCUUAUUAUUAUUCUAUUUUUUUUGGCAAAACUACAAUUAUGCUAAAAUUGUACACAUCAUAAAUAAAUUUAUAAGUAGUUGAAAAAAAAUUUUAAAAAAAGGGAAGAUAGAGUAGCAUCUAUGAAAGUAGUUGAAUUCUUGCAAGGUGUGGAUGUAAGCAAGUAGUAAGUUUGAAUUUUCUGUCAUUGGUAAAUAUUGGUUUUGAUUUUGGGAAAUAUUUUUAAUUAUUGGGUUAGUUUUGAUGCAGAAGUAAAUUUGACGUUUGUGAAGUCAAUCGUGAUAUUAUUUUUGACUAAUAAUGGUAACGAAAAAUAGCAAAUUGUUAUCUUUUUAUAGUUAAUAUAAUAAAAUGUUAUAAUUUGAUAAUUCUUGUAGUAAGAUAGUAACCCAUUACAGAAAAUCAAGCUAAAGGUCUUGUUCAUAGUAAACAUUCCCAUAAGUUCUUUCGGUAGAAAUAAGAAUCUCUUUUAAUGAGAAUAUCUCUUUCGUUCAAUAAUUUAAACGAGAAUCUAAUUUCUUCUAUAUUUAUCAUAAUUUUUUUUUAACCAAUGAAAGAAAAGUCUUUUUCUUGCCAUGAAUUUCCUGUCAAAAAUAAUCCUUUAGUUUUAUGUUGUUAUGCAAUAGUAUGAGAAGAUUCUUUUUUAUUAAGUCGAUGCUUUAGGCCUUUAAUAAAUGCAUUAAAGAUGCUACUUAAAAACAAUUGGUUAUUGCUAGAGAUCUGAUCAGUGUGUGUGCGCGGGCGGUUGUGUAUAUACGCGCACGCGUGUGCGCGGGUGGGUGGGUGCGCGUAUGGGUGUGUGUGAGUGGUUUUUCAAUCCAGAAAGUAUCCAAAAUAAGAUGAUGUCCACCAAUUAGUAUGCAAUAACUUAAAAAAAAGGGGGGGGGGGGGGGGGGGGGGGGGGAGGGGGGAGGAAUUUUUAAAGAGUGGGACUAUUGGCACCCCUCUAAAUACCUCUUAAUACCCUUUUAAUUAUUUUAAAAUUUUAACCUUUAUUAAAUUACAUAAUAAGACAAUUUCGAAUUAAACCCCCACUCAAAAUCAAAUAAUUUUUUCCCCUUAAAAAUUCCUUAUUACUAUUAUUUGUUAAUAGAAUCAUUGAUAUUAUCAAUUUAUCAUUGACAUAAAAAUCAUUCAUUCCUCUUAGAUUUGUUCCAUUAUCAUGCUCUUCACAUAAAAUCAUUGCUAUUAUAUUUGUUAAUAGAAGUCAUUUCAUAGAGGCAUGUAAAACUUUGGAAAUUCAAAUUAUGCUACAAUAUCUUUAUUAUUGGACUAAUUUUUUCUAUGGCUUUUUUCUACAGGUGUUCAUGCUUCCAGCUUCACCUAUUCCUCCUAUUGCGAAUGGUUGGAUCAAGUAUCAUGAACCAUGUGCAGAGAAGGCUGGGCAACACCAUACGAAACUAAUAUAAGUGCUUUUAAGGAUUUGGUGUUUGAAGUUACCACACAAGAAAUAAUUGAUAUAGCUAGUCAAUGACAAUAUUAGACAAUUUGAUACUAAUAAAUUAAACAAGGGAUCAAAAAAUUAAGUUUUAUCCACAAUUAAGGGAUCAAAAAUUAAACAAUGGGGUUUAUACUAAUAAAUUUAAAUUAAGGGUAUUUUUGUCAUUAAAGGGGUGUUAAAAGAAUUUUAUAAUAUUUUUAAAUAUUUUAAUGGGGUUAAUAAAGAAAAGAGGUGUUGAGAGAUAUUUAAAGGGGUGCCAAUAGUCCUACUCAUUUUUAAAUACCUCAUUCGGGCUGUUAGAUUCCCAGGCCCCUUUAUUGACUGCAUAUGAUGGAGUCUACCAUACAUAGACAAAUGUUGGCCUUUAAAUUUUUUAAUCCAAAACUUUUAAUCCGAACUCUCGGAUUGAAAAAGCACCUAUAUAUAUAUAUACAGUAAUAAAAAUUAGGUCGAGCUAUUAGGGGCUUCUCUUCCUUACCAUAAAAUGUAGAAUAUGGUAAAUUUCUCUCUAUUUGUUAGUGGAGCAGAUUUUCAAAUUAUGUUGAAUAGAUGUAGAAUUACAUAUAUUACAUAUUAUUCUCAAUAGAUCUCAAUUAUAAUAUGUUAGCUAGCAUGUUGUAUUACUCCUAAAUAAAAAAAUAAAAAUUGAGAUGCAUCCCAACCUUACUUUUUCCAUUUGUUGAUUUGUUAUAUGUUGCUUAAUUUGUCACAAAAAGAAAAUGACAGAAAGAUUUAAUUUAUAACGGCACGUGCUUGAGGAACAAAGCAACCAUCAAUUGUCAUCCAUGAAAGAGUAUAUUUGUCGGCUAUUGCACUCUAAAGAUUUUGCAGCUACACCCAAAGCUUAAUUGUAAUCAUUAUUACAUUUAUAAUUCUACUCCACUGUUUUCUAUUGUUUAAUGCAAAAGUUUUGAUUGCCUCUUCUAAUUCACUUGGGAUUUUGUUCGCUCCUAAACAAAAUUUUAGUUGGAUGCAAAUGGGUUAAAUGAAUUUUUAAAAUUUUUCAGAUUUUCGCCUUCAUUGCUACAAACCAAGAUUAGCAUCCGUUUCAUCGAUGCUGGUAUUGUCAUCACAAAUACUUCCAGUCAUUUGGUUCAAUAGCGUUUCGUUUAUGCUAACUUUUCUCAUGCUUGUAGAUUGCAAAAAUCUAUUCAAGUUUGAAGAGCUACGUACAAUUAGGGAUGGCAAACAGCGGGCCUGGGCUGGACCCGAGCGGGCUUGGGCCGGUCCGGACUUUUUUACCACCCCUAGGCUUAAUCCAUUUGCCUUAUGGAAAGGACAAGUGCAAUAAUUGCCUUUGCAUCUAUGGGAUUCUACUCUCUCUGCGCUGCUUGUACAAAAAGUCCACUAUUCGCCCUGAUUGUGGGAACAUAUGUCAAUAAUGCUAUCUUAUUUGACUUGAAUUUUUAAUAAUGUGUACAUAUUAGUUAAUUUAUUAUUAGGCCACUGCUAAGUUACGUUUAAAGUAACUUAGCACACACACAACAAUAGUAGCAGGCUCUACUAAUGGUACUGUUGCUGUGUGUGGGUGUAUGUUACGUUAAUCGUAACAUAAGGAGAUCCUUAUUAUUAAUUAUUAACUUUUAUUUUUAUAAUCUAUAAAUUGUUAUAGAUAAAUGUUGUAUCAAUAAGUAUUUUAAUUAAAAAUUUAAAGUAAGUAUAGUGUUACUCAAACACAUAUAGAAAGAACUAAUAAUUUGACAUAUAUGCUCAAAUUAUGGGAUGGAUUCCGACUGAUCUUAAUACUUCAAACCCCAUAUUCAUUAUACUUUAAUAUUUUUAUUCAUUCAAUUUUUCACAAUAAAGCGGCAUAUAGUCUAUAAACUAAGAUCCGGUGUUUAGAUGAACUUGAGCUUGUUUUGUGCAUCAAAUCAACAAUCAUGAUUUGUUUAACAUGAGUUCUAUAUAAGUUUUUAAUUAACUUUUUGAUCCUUAAUUCAAUACUUAACACAAAUUCUACUACUUAUUGAAUCCUUAUCCUUACAUUGAUUAUUUUUCUCAAAAAUAAUCCUUAUACUUAAUAUCCUUAUCCCAAAAAUAAUCCUUAUCCUUAUGCUUAAUAUUAUUAACUCUUUUUUAUAGGAUGACAAUAAUCAUGAUUCCGGACGUGGAUCAUGAUCCCUGGCCCAUCCCCGAACCCACCUCAUAGAUGAAAUUGAUUAUUUUUGGGAUGGAUGGGAAUGUAGGAGAGAAUCCUCAAUGAGGCAAGGAGGCAAGGGAUAAAACGAGGGCCAAAUGCCCAGCCUAUCAAUAUGUAGAUUUUUCUCAGCAGAGAGCAUUGAUGUGUCUUUACAUUGAAAGAAAUUAUUUUUACGUACUUUACGGUUCAGUCGAUUUUCAACCAUUUUUUUUUUCGGUUGUCACUCGCGUCUACUUUAUUCAAAUCAACCCAAUAAUUCAAAUCCCGAAAGAAAUUAAUAAGAACUACAAAAUUAAUGGAAAAUUUACACAAAUAACCUAAAAAAAUUUGUUAUUUUCACAACUAACCCCUCAACUUUUUUCCUAUCAACAUUAGCCAAUAAUCAUCCCUAGUGCCAAAAAUGCCCCUCCCAUAACUCUACCUCUCCUUCCUCUCUCUCUCUCUCUCUCUCUCACCGUCGAAUUCACUGCAAGAUCUACUUGAUGCGUUAUCAAGAUUCAUCAUCUAUAUAUGCAUCAGACUCUAGCGUUGCACCAUCCUGAUCAUCGUCUUCAUAGGACUCAUCAUCAUCAGUAGCCUUUUCAGUUCCACUUCCACUUAGUUCUGAUUAUAAGUACAAUUCUUCAAGGGCUUGAGGAAAUAUGCAUCACCCAAGUUUUAACAGAAAAGAAAUCAUUACAGCUUACCCCAAAUAUCUUAUCAUAUUCCUCCAGCAAUGUUAUGACAAUGGCUUGAGCAUGAUUUACUGCAGCUGCUGCUUGCAGCAGUUGAGCAGAACCGUCACCACCCACAUUGAAAUCAAUUUCAAUCUCACAUUCACCAACUAGAAGGGGACGACGAAGUAGAGGUGCCAUGCAAGCCGCCACUGCUGAAGUGCUCAUUCGAUUUUGAUUUUUGGAAGAAGCAACAAUUUUCAUCAUCAUAAGUAGGUGCGACAGGCACCAAAUUCGUGCGACAGGUGCCUGUCGCACAACAUCUUAGUGCGACAGGCACAUGUCUGCACUUGCACAAAAUCUUAGUGCGACAAGCACAUGUCUGCACUCGCACUGAAUCAGUUUGCAAGUUGAGAAAAUAUCUCUUACUGCUCGCUGAUACGGAUUAGUGUUGGAUUCGGAUGGAUUACGCUGUAUUUGAUGGAGUUCACUUUUACCGUUCGCCGUUGCCGUUUGCCGUUGCUAUUUGUCGUCGCCGGUGAUAAUUCAAUAGUAUAAGACUGCGUUUCGUUUGAUCAAGGGGGAGAAGAAAAGUUGUUUUUGGUUUGUAAACAAGGGUAAUUUGGGGAGAAAAUCUUGUGUUUGGCUAAUGUUGAUUGAAAAAAGUUUGAAGGCUAAUUGUGAAAAUUACAAAAAUUUUUAGGUUAUUUUUGUAAAUUUCCCAAUAUAAAUCGUAUCGAAUAUGCUUUACUUAUAGAUCCAGCUAAUGGUAGCAAAGCCGGCAAACAAUGGUGUUUAUCUAAGCCGGCAAACAAUGCUCCCCUAAAUCGAAUCGAAAGAUAGACAUUUAAUGGCCAACUGUCAAGGAUGGUGGCAAAGCAUUGAAGGCCAUAAUCCCCCCCCCCCCCCCCCCCCCCCCCCCCCCCCCCCCCCCCCCCCCCCCCCCCCCCCCCCCCCCCCCCCCCCCCCCCCCCCCCCCCACAACAAAAAAAAAAUGUCAUCAAAAUUGCGGCAAUUAUUCUCAGUGAUUCGGAAAACCCCGGAACUAAUUGGACCGGCGAGGCCUACAGCUCGUGUAAUAAAGCAACUAUCCAAUUUAGAUGACCAGCAAUGUGUAAGGUUUCAGAUUCCAAUGAUAUUCUUUUACAAGAAUGAUCCUUCGCCUGCAAUGGAAGGCAAAGACCCAGUUAAGGUCAUCAGGGAAGCCCUAAGCAAGGCGCUUACGUUUUAUUACCCUCUAGCUGGGAGGCUUAAGGAAGUGUCCAAUCGCAAGCUAAUGGUGGAUUGCAAUGGUGAAGGCGUCUUGUUUACAGAAGCUGAAGCUAACAUCACACUUGAGCAGCUUGAGGUUGGUGAUGCAGUUCGGCCACCGUGUCCAUACUUGCAUGAAUUACUGUAUAAUGUUCCAGGCUCUGAAGGCAUCCUUGGUUGCCCAUUGUUGUUAAUUCAAGUAAGUCAGCUUCACUAGCAACUUCAUUCAUAAUUGCUUCUAUAUAUAUAUAUAUAUAUAUAUAUAUAUAUAACUUCAGAGACUUUGAACUAAUUACUCAGUUAAUCAACGUAUUUUAAAGAGCUAUUUUUAUAUUUUUCAAAUGUUUUCAUAUUUAAAAUGUUAGGUGCAAUUACUAUGGAAAUAAUAACUGUAGGAACAUCUUAAGUAAUUUUCUAAAGGCAAAUUUCCUCUUAGUUCCGAUGAUUUGGAACAAUUAAUUACCCAUUUAGUCUUGUAUAAUUAAUUGUAGGAAAAUUAUUUCUUAAUCACCUCAAAAUAUCAAAAGUAUAAAUGGCAACCACGAGCUUUUGAUAAUAUCUCAGAGCCAUCAGAAGUUUUAGUUUAAUUUAUAUGAACUAAUUACUUUUUCAUUAACUCUAUUAACGCACAUUAAAAAAUAUAAGAUAAAAGAUUAUUUUGUCCUUAAAUUCUUUGAAGAAGGUAAAACAAUGCUUUGGGAUGGUCUAGGGAUAAAAUAUUACUUUAUUUUAAGUUAUUUAUCUGUGACUAACAAAGUUAAAAAAAAAAAAGUGACUGAUUAAUAUAAAAUAAUACUUUAGGUGGUUCUACAAUAUUAUCAUAUAUACAUUGUCGUUUUUUGCAUUUUUAAUAUUCUUGAAGUGGUUGAAGGAUAAUUUUCUUUAAUCAUACGUAUGAAAUUAAUCAAAAGUUCUAUAUCGUUACUUCUAUAACUAUGAACUCUGACUGUUCAUGAGCAAAAUGGUGUUUUUCUCUAAUAUAUUUUGAAACUCAAAUAAAUCUAAUACGCAACCCUAAAAUAGGAAUUAUUAACUAGGUUGUAACAGCGAUAAAAGAGUAUUUAUUCAUUUUGAACUUAGGGACUAAAGAGAAACGUACCCUUAUUAUGGUGACAGGCAAUAUUGAAUAAGUAUCUUUUUCUGAUUUUGACUUUGACUUGUCUUUCUGAGACCUAACUAUUCAUGUUAUUCUGAAUGAGCUACUUUGCGAGACUCACGUGCAUCGGCCGAGGCCACAUCCAAAAAGCCAACCAUACGUAUACCACAAGGAAGUCCUCUGUCACCCGUUCUAGAUAACAUCUACCUUCAUGACCAUAAUUUAUUUUUUGAUUUCUUAAUUUAAAACACAUAGAAAUGUACCAAAGAGUGAGAUAACACUUCAAAAGACAUGGAAAAUGUAAAAUGAGUGUAGUGGAUACGAGUCAACAUUACGUCUUACUUAACCUUUGAAUUUUGUAUUUGUUUUCCACUGCGUAAUAUAUAGGUGACCCGUUUGGCAUGUGGAGGAUUCAUUCUCGCAUUGCGCUUGAACCACACAAUGUGCGACGCAUUCGCUUUGUUGCAGUUCAUGAAAGCCAUUGAAGAUAUGGCUAAGGGCGCAAAUGAACCAUCAUUGCUGCCUGUUUGGGAACGUGAACUCCUAAGUCCUAGAAUCCCACCAAAAAUCACAUGUACCCACCAUGAAUACGAUGACCAAACAGAUUCCACUUUGGCCAUGAACCCAAAUGAUCAUAUCAUAAACCAUAAAUCAUUCUAUUUUGGCCCCAAAGAAAUCACAGCAUUAAGAAACCAACUCCCACAACAUCUUAGAGACGGCUGCUCAACAUUUGAGCUAUUAACCGCUUGCAUAUGGAGGUGCCGUACUAUGGCACUACAAAUAGACCCCGAUGAGAUAGUUCGAGUUACAUGUUGUGUUAACAUCCGAGGCACAAAAUAUAACAUGAUGCUACCUAAUGGAUAUUAUGGGAAUGCAAUUGCAACCCCAACAGCAUGUUCAACGGCCGGAGAUUUGAGUAAAUAUUCAUUGGCAUAUGCUGUGGACCUGGUAAAGAAAGUGAAGGCUACAGCGAGUGAAGAGUAUGUAAGAUCUUUGAUAGAUUUUAUGGAGAUCAGAGGCCGACCGAUGCCUGCCGUAAAGGGAAGCUUUGUUGUUUCAGAUAUAACUCGAGGUGGUUUUGAAGAGGUCGAUUUUGGGUGGGGGAAACCUGUGUAUGCUGGACCUCCUGAGGCUGUGUUGUUCAUGAGCUUCUAUAUCAAGUAUCAAAAUAAAGAUAGUGGAGAAUAUGGGACUUUGGUGCCAAUAUGCUUGCCGUUGAGAGCUAUGGAGAAGUUCGAAGAAGAGCUAAAGAAAAUGACUCUCCAAUGACCCAAGGCCACCUUGAUGUAGGAAGAAGUAUAGGGGUCAAAUAAAUUAAAAAUUAUCUUUGUUGAGUAUAACUAUUAUAUAUAUUAUUGGAACUUAUCUUAUUUCGGGAUUUAUAUUUGAGUCAGAUUAUAAUUCC